CCGUUAACAACUUAGACUUCAGAUCAAGUUUUCAUCCCACAAGUUUAGGUCUAGAGCAAGCUUUAAAUUAUAACAGUUAUAUCUAAACUUGAGAGAGAACUUAAAAUGUUCAAAUUAGGCAGAGCAACUAUUCAUCAUUUCCAUGCUUAAGUUUUAUUUAGAUACAGAUUAGCAUAGCCACUUUAUUUAUUUAUUAAACACACUAAGCAAAAGAUAUAUAUAUAAGCUUAAAAUCUUUAUUUGGUUUUUUCAUAGUUUAUGUAUUUUAAUAUUCUAAUAUAAUAUAAGUAUAAAGAUAGAUAGAUAGAAAUACUUAUCGAGAUAAAUGGGGGUGCUCUCCCCCAAGCUGAAUUUUGACGUAAUUUCUCUUGAUGUAGCUAGCAGGUGGCAGAGGUGUAUUUGAAAGUCAGCAGCAUUCUGACAGCGAUUAGAAUGUCCUCCGUCUGCCAGUCUUUUUGAUUCUUAAAUUCUACGGAGCUCAAAUAGACAACAAAGCGUGUGGAACCGAUUAAGUGUUAGCAUAAAUAUCUAGCCUUUAUCAUGUUGAGACUCCUUAAUAAUUAUUACUCCCUAUUUUUAUAUUUUCAUUUUAUAAAGCAGAAAUGAAAUAUUUAUUUUAUUUUUAUGCCACCACAGUGAAUGUACUUAUGGGUUUUAUGCCACUCGUAUACUCACAUGGGGCUUACUGUUUUUCGCAUUUUUAUUUUCUUUUAUUUUUAAGAUAGUACGAACAUGAUUAACUAAGUAAACUAGUUGAAAUAAUUGAAAGGGAAAGGAUAACUACCAAGUUUACCUCUCGGCAAGGCGUUCGGUGUUUUUACGUCCUCCGAACGGGACUCUCCAUUUUCUUAAUCGUCCUGAGGUUCGUUGGGUGGCGUAGUCGGUACUUCCGGUGGCGCCUCCUCUUCAUGUAUAGUUAUCUUCAUUUUCCACACCUGACUUGGUGCUUCGGUCUCCUCUGGAUAAUUCUGUUUAAACUCUACGUUUUCUGACCUUAUAACUUCUCCUUCGUAGUCUGCCCAUCCGUCCUUGAUGAUCUGCCUCCUCUGGUUGCGGUUGCGUCUUUUCCUUACCUGCUUAGAUUCUUCAACGAUAUAGUUAGGGUCAGUAAAAUAACGGCGUACCUUCUCUGAGGGGAAGUGCAUAUGGACUUCUCCAGUUCCAAUGUAGAUAAUUGCUUUAAUGGUGCUGAGGAACGGUCUUCCAAGGAUGAUGGGUGGAUCGUACUCGUCUUCUCCCAUGUCAAUAACUUGAAAGUCUGUGUAGACAAAGUAAUCGUCUAUUUUGACUGGGACAUUAGUUACUAUUCCUUUAACUUCUCGAAAUGUCUGAUCUGCCAUCUGGAGCUGAAUGUAUGUUGGUCUUAGGGGCAUGGUUCCGAACAAGAGCCGAUAGGUGACUGCGGCCAUUAUGUUGACGCCCGAUCCGGUGUCACAAGUUGCCUUGUAGAAGUUGUAUCCAUUGAUGGAGCAAUAGAUGCUUAGCAUUCCUGGGUCGUCCUUCUUGGUCAAAAGCGGUGACUUAAGUUGGUGAUUUUGGCCUCCAUGAACUACAGUGACCAUCUUAGCUGACUCGGUCCACACUUGCUUGUUCCUGUUCCUCCUAUUGGUCCUCUUCCUUGAUUGACGUCUGGAUUGAUCUGGAAUUUGUGUAGUCUUGUUCUUGAAGAAAAAUGUCUCCUUCCUCCCUUUGACGUAGAAACUGAUCUUAGCAGCACUAGCGUAGAUGAUAGCUCCCGUGGUAUUCAAGAAUGGCCUCCCUAAGAUGAUAGGUGCUCUCUCAUCAUUUCCGGUCUCUACCACUACGAAGUCUGCUAGAGCAUAUAAGGUACCAACUCGGACACAAAGGUUCUUCAAUAUUCCCUUUGGAAAAGUUAUCGUCUGAUCUGCAAACUGCAAACACAUGGUUGUUUCUAAUAAAGGAUAUGUAAAGAAUUUUUCGUAGAGUACCCAGGGUAUAAUGUUGACACUGGAGCCAAAGUCACAGAGUGCUUCUGGGACAUCCACCAUGCCGAUGGAGAUCGGGAUGACGGGGCGCUCUGGAUCGCCUCUCUUGACCGGCAGAAGGUCAGUAGAGAAUUCAGUGACGGGGUUACUCCAAUUACCUGCAUCAAACAUGUCUACAAGAUUUGCAGAUUCUAAUCCUUCCGGUUGUGAUGGUAUACCGGGGUUAGUAGUAGGAACAGCAGCAGCUAUUUGAUUUAACUGAGAUUCAAUCAUUUUAUUAAAGCUAAUUUGAUUCUUGAUGGCAGUAGAGAAAUUAUCAAUUCUAUUAUUUAUAUUUUCUAGCAUUUUCUCAUUAGAUGCCAAUUUCUUAGAUAGAUUAUCCAUUAGCUUUCCUUGAUUAGACACUAACUCUCUUAAAGGUGGAAAAUUAUUAUUACUGUUGUCAGAAUUGUUACCUUGAUAAUUACCUGAGUAGUUAGGCCUCUGUUGAUUCCAACCUUGAUUUUGUUGAGGACGGUUGUAGUAGUAGUUGUUGUUGUUGAUGUAGUUCACAUCCUCAAGCAUCUCAGGGCAGUGAUUGCCUGAGUGUCCAGUAUCUCCACACUCCUCACAAGUCAUGUGAGAGUCGUAGAUGUGCAUAACUUCCUUCUUAUCUCCAGCUCUAUCGUCGAGCUUCUUCAUGAGCAGGUCUAGCUUUGCAGACAGCAUGUCUGCCUCUUUCAGCUGAUGCAUACCUCCACCUCUCUUGCGUGUCUGGGUCCUCUCUUCAUUCCAGCUUUGAUUGGACGCCAUCUUCUCCACAAGAGCUGUGGCUUGUGGUAUAGUAAGUGAUAAGAAUGCUCCUCCAGCUGCAGCAUCCAUGGUCUCUCGGGCACUGUUGCCGAGCCCAUGAUAAAACGUCUGCAUCAAUAGCCAACUCUCCAUUCCAUGAUGGGGACAUUCUAGGAUGUAGUCUUGAAAGCGCUCCCAUGCUUCUGGAACAGAUUCAUCAUUUUGUUGCUGAAAACUUGUAAUCUUCCCACGGAGAGCAUUGGUCUUGCCCAUGGGAAAGAAUUUUGCCAGGAAGUUUGUUGAGCAAAGUGCCCACGUAGUAUUCUUCUCCUUUGUAGCGUAGAACCACUGCUUCGCUCUUCCUAACAGUGAGAAUAGGAAGAGGCGAAGUAGUAUAGCAUCUUUGGAAACUCCGGAUAUGGUGAAUGUGUUGCAAAUCUCCAGGAAGUGUUGUAAAUGAGCACUAGCAUCUUCGUGUGCCUUCCCACAGAACUGGUUGGAUUGCACCAUGUUGAUAAGUCCAGGCUUGAGAAAGUUGCCAUCGAUCUCUGCAGCAGGUCCAGUGCGGAUGUUGUCCGUAGUGGGAGCUGAGAACUCGCGGAUUGAUUUGUUCGCCAUGGCUUCGAACUCUGAAGACAAGUUCCGGUGAUCUUCUUGAUUGGAUGAAGCUUCUUGCUGAAGUGUUGAUGAUCUCUUCUUGAGCUUGGCUCUCGUCUUCUUGAAUAAUGCUUCGGGAUUGUCAACAAAAUUUCCUGGAAGAUGUCUUCUAUUCAUACAUUCCCCUGCAUAGGAUAAAAUGGAAAAAUAUCGGGGUAAAACUGUAUGAGAGAAUAGAUAAGCUCAAUCACAUUAGUGAUGCGAAUGAUAACUCAAAAUCUUUUAUUCUAUUCCUGAUUAGUAAUCAACCUUCCCCGGCAACGGCGCCAAAAAUGCUUGUUGGGUAUUCUUAACAUCAUUACCAAAAGUAGACUAAGUUUUCUAAAUCUAGUAACGGUGCCAAAAAUGCCAAACCUAUCCCUCACACCACUUAAGCCAAGUUGUCAUCCCCAGCAUGACAUGAGAGACGUGGUAUUGAAAUAUGCAAUUGCUCUUCUAAAUAAAUAAUGAAUGGGAUCUGCAAGCGCACAGAUUAAUACCGAUGUAGCAUUUUAACCGGGAAGUAUUCCAGGUAUCGUUAUUUAUAUUUUUACCACUGGGAAGGGAUUAGCAAUCAUCAAUAUUGAUUACAGAAUAGAAUAUGAGAUUGAGCAUCUAUCAUUGCAUGUAUAAUUGAGAACAUUAUAUCUAACUCACCAUACAGGGAUAAGUGUCACAUAUAAAAGAUAUAUGAAAUAGUAAUAGUGACAAGGAUAAUUAAUCUGAUCUAGCCACAUAAUAAAUAUGAUAAGCACCUCAAUUAGAUAGUCUAGAAAGUCAUUAGCAUGGUAUUAGAACGAACUACAAGAAUAUUCCCUAAGUUAUUCUCAACUAUAUAGUCUAGCAUUAUCAUAGUUAGUGCAAGCAUACUUAGCAAUCAUUGUGAGACAAAACUACGCCCAUGCAUAAUGAUAUUAGCAAGGAAUAUGAAAAACAUAGCAAUCACUCCCCUGUAAUAAUGUUGCUCUGCCAGCCCAAUACACGAGAGGGGGACUAUAUAAGAAUCGUGAAGCUGUCACUAUCACGAACCACCCCACGAUCUGGCAUAUUGGGUACAAUCGCAGAUAAAUACGGUAUAAGUACCACGCCUACACAAUAUCUAUCAUUUACCCAUGGAUCCGAUGGAUAAACGCUAUACGAUCCUAAGCAUGUAUAUAGAUCGAAUCUAACUAAGCCAAGUACAUAACUAUGAUAAACUAAGAACAAUAUAAUCUUGAAUAUAAGGAAGUAGAGCAAAGUCAUAAGCAAUAUAUUGAAGUAGAACAAAGUCAUAUUCAUAAUAUUGAAGAACAAAGAUAAUUAGAAAGCAAUUAGAAGCACAAUUAUAGAAUUACCAAGAAUCCUCUUGACAGAUCCGGAAACCAAUCGAAGAUUGACUCCUUCUAGUUCUAAUCCUAUGUAGCUAUGCUAAUCUAGAUAUCUAAUUGAUGUGGUGGCUCUAAUCUUGAUCAGAGGCUUCUUCUCCCUUGAUGGAACAAUGAAUUAGGGUUGAGAGGCUCUCUCCUCUAGGGGCCAGGGGGUCUGGUUUUCUAGUCCCUUCAAGUGAAUAUGUGCCAUUGGAUCAAACCGACAUAGAUUGUAUGGUUUAGAUUCAUCCUUUAGGUCGGUGGAGAUCUCCCACGAAGCAGAGUCCUGAUUGGACUCAGGGAGGGGGCGGGCGCCCAGGGCAGGAGGGCGGGCGCCCUACCUCUGGCCCCGUUUCGCCUCCGCUUCGGUCUCGUGGCUUCUGGAGUCUUCUAGAUGUAAGAUAAUUGCGCGGCACGUUAAUAUCUCUAUGUAAUCCCGACGUGUGGGCCUUUCUUCCGUAUUUCCUGAUAACCCCCUGCAGAAAUAGACAAACACCAAAACUCAUGGAAUUCUGUCAGAUAAAACCCUAAGUCUAGAUGUUGAUUUCAUUUGGAUCCUUUUCUUUGUUUAUUUAAUAAUUAAAUUUGAUACUUAAGGACCGUCAACAGCUUGAUCAGGCUUGAUUAGUGGUACAUGUACAUGUGGAACCAGGUGAAUUGUACCUAUGUCAGUACUUAGUUGCUUGGUGUUAUCCCCAAAACUUAACCAUUGUUGACGGUUUUAGUGGUUGAAUAUUGUAACAGAACCGUCCAAUUUAUAAGAAUUCAAGUGAAUUAGCGACCAUGAGAGUAGUCAAGCCAAAGGACAUGAACCCAUAUAAACUUGGUAGUCCGACAAAACCUCAAAAUAUCUUGAUUCAACCAACAUACAACCAAGACCAUACAUGAUCAAGCAUCUCCAUCACAGACUACAACAUUCAUCACAGAACAUAGUUUUACACACAUCGGAGUUCAAAUAAAGUUGUUACAACAUGGUUCAGUAGCAGAAGCAAAGUAGUUUUGAAACAUCGCACACACUUAGUUUAAUUACAUGCCAGCUCCAUGAUCAUCCCAACAAAAGCACAACCGAAGAUACAAGAAGUGAUCUUGCCCGAGAUCUACUUAUCAUCCGCAGCCAGAUGGUGACAGUUAGCAUAGUAGCCAUGAUACAUGACAUCAUCUGCAACAAGGGUAAAUAAAACCCUGAGUACGAGAAUGUACUCAGCUAGACUUACCCGCCAUAAACCAGAAAUAAAGUGACACCAAGGAGUAUGCAAGGCUCAUAUUUGUGGCAGGUUUGACUCACAUUUUUGCAUAAAAAGCUUUAGCAUUAAGUAAACCAUUUAUAACAUGUUCAGGAGCAAGUUCAUUACUUAAACAACUAUCCACUAGAUUAGCACCUGUUCUAAGCAUACACUUGAGUAUUAAGCAUCACAAUAAUAACCAUAUCCGGAUUAUCACAUAGCCAUCAUCAUUCUCAUCAUAACCAUUAAGUAUAUUUAGUGAGAUCUACGUUGCCGCUGCUCGAGUCAAGUUUUCACUAUCCGGGAGAGACGGCGAUUCGAAUCGACUUAUCCGGCCGGAGAUGCACUCGUAGGCUUCGCGGUCGGAACGACUUAUCCGGCCAACUAAGUGUCAGGCAUGCGUUCAACAUGACAAGAGGACGUACAGCGUAUCGGUCCUUAAACGACUCAGACAGGGAUAGAUUCACACCCAAGACCUCCAUGCCUUGUUGCUUCACUAUCGUCAUCCCGCCCGGUCUCAAUUCAUUAUUAGCACAUGGUUAUCUCCACGAUAGCAAUUAUAGCCAACCCUGAUCAAGUAUCCACCUAUCUCUCGCAGGUGACAGAAAAUCACCCGGCUUCUACCGAGCUAAGCAUGGCUAAGCAUUAAUUCGAUCCUGGACCUACUCAGGUGAGGUAUAAGAUGGACAAGGUAGUCAUUAUGCAGCAAGGUUGUUAUAUCAAUGCCUAACACUUAAUGCAACAAUACAUAACUAUAGUUAAUUGACAACUGGACAUGAUAACAAAAUAGUAGGAGUAUUAUAAUGCUCCGGGGCUUGCCUUCGAUGUAGGUGGAAGGACGAUGGUCAGGACACUCCGGUAGGUCCUCCUCCUCCUCAGUUCCUUCUCCUUGAGAUGGCUCCCUCUGCUGCUCCUCUGGCUCGGGUGGUGCGAACUCCCGAACCGUCACGCCCUUGGGUACACCUAUGUAUGCAUGACAAGGUAGUAAACAUAGGGAAUGCACAUAUGAUGCAAUGUAUCACGAUGGGGAGCCAAAGGAACACAUAUCAAGGAGCAAACACGAUCACAAGCUUCUGAGAUUAAGAUGAUCAUAAAACAACAAGUAAGUGCAUACUUCUUCUCUGGUAGAGAGGCUAACUAGACAAGCUAAUCGACCCUAGCUACUCAUACCUCAACAACUGGGGUCAUUGCAGACUGGGUAGUCACAAAUUUUAGCUAUAACUUAGUCGUCAUUUGGCCAAACUAAGCAAGUAAGCACUUUCUAGGAAGCUUAACAAAUUAUCUACAAAUCACUUUUAGACAUGACAGAGAGAUUCCCAACCGAAAUGGACUAAAACAGACAAGGUCUCCUGGCUGCUCUUGAAAAUCCAGAGAACAAGCACUUCGCAGUAGCUACUUGUAACAGCCACAACUUUUAAACUACUCAGCCAAAUACUAUGAAAUUUGGACACAAGGCAGAUAAGUAAGAUAGAUACAAGUUUGUUAUAGGCAAGUUUUCCAGCAAACUUUAUCUUCAAGCAGUUCUUAAGAAAUUUCUAUGAGCUACCCAGAAUGUACUCUAGACAAGGUAUAAAUAGCAAAAUAAGAUUUUAGCACAUAUUAAGAAUGUAACAUUGGUUCAAACCAAAAAUACCAGUAGCUAGAACAUGUCUAGGAAACACCAUAAAACAUCAUGGCAAGGUUUACACUCAUCUUUAUUAUCCCCUUUUCUAUUUAUUUGAUUAUUAAGGUGAAUUAAUGAGCAUGUAGUACAAGUGCUCCAAAAAUUCUAACAAAAUUACAACAAGCUUUCUAGGAUACCACAAGGUUACUGUAAAAUUUGCAUGGCUCUUGCACAUGCAGAUGGUGAGGUACAAAAAUGACAAUCUACUCAUCGCAUUAGAGGCAUAAAUCUCAAAUCCUAUCAAAAAGUGUCAAACAACAGAUUUCAGAUUUUUCUUAGCUUUAACUUGACAUGUUUACAUCACCCAGCAAGUUCCAUCAUAAAAGGAGCCAUACUCUAUUUAUUAAAAAUACCACAAGAAACUCCUAUUUAAUCAAAGAAUAUUUAUAACUUCACCACAAGGCAUCCAAAAAUCAUGAAUAAUUUAUCAGAGCCUACACAUAGCAUAAAUAACAAUCUCCUAAAUUUGAAGGGUGAUAGGACUUUCAGAUCUCAAGAUAUAUUUACCUUCUUUUUAUCAAGGAUUAAAUCAUAUCUAUUUAUUUCUGCAAAAACAUGGCAUGUUUCAAAUUUUUAUUAAAAACUAGACUAGUGUGACAAAAUUGGAAUCACUCCAUUUGGAUCUGUCUAACUCAAGUUAUGAAUUUUCCAAAAUAGCAUGGAAUCUGUCCAAAAACAGAAAUAGGGGGAGAGAGGGACAGUGACUGGGACCCACUGGUCAGAGGGACCUGCUUGAUAGUGACAUAGAGAUAUGGCAGAGCUCGUCGCCGGCGAAACUCGACGACGGCGAGGUCUCGGCCGAAUCCAAGGGCACAGUCGUGACCCUCUCACCAAGGCGGACCUACCGAGGUACGAUACCCUCACUCUACCAAGCUCUAGGGGGCUCGUCGACACGAAUGGCGGCUCGGCGGCGCUGCGGGCAGUACGUCGGCGUGCUCAGCCGAUGCCGACCCAGUUGAGGUUCACGCCGAGCAUCAGUGAGUCUAGGGGAAGCUCUAGGAACAAAAAUGUGAAGAAAUGGUGGAGCAGGGAGGCCUGGCCACGUUGCCAGUGAGCACGGUGGAACUCCGGCGAGAGAGAAACUGCUCAGAGCUCGGCGAUGCCGCCUUACCCGCGCUCGACAGUGGCAAUGGAGGUGACGCCGAGGAAGAGGAAGCUCUGGCGAAGCUCUUGGCGGGCUGGCAUGGCCAGAGACGGGGAGGAAAGCUCGGGCGGAGUCGCUGACUCGCGGCGGAGUUCGCCAAGGAAGAAAUCGGAGAGGAGAGAGAGCGCUGGAGGGGGAAAUGAGGCCGGCUUCCGCUCGGGGGGCGUCGUGGCAUCCAAGUGGAGGUGCUGGGGCUGAUAGGUGGGGUCGCCGUCGUCAUAUGGCCGCCAUGGGGCGUCCAUGCGUCGACCGGCCGGCGACUGAUGAAACUGAAUCGCUCGAUUCAGUCGCCGUCUAUAGUGACUGAAUCUCAAACUUGGCCGAUGUUUUACUCGCAAUUCACUCGGUGGUUUUUGCUCGGAUUUGUCCCAAUGGAUAGAGCUACAUGAGUUCUACAAGUUUGCUCAAAGGAUCAAGGUCUGGUUUGGCCUAGAAUUCAAACUACAACGCUCCCAAGUACCCUUCCUCGAAUCUGCGAAACCCACACUUAGUCAAAAUCGCCUAAGUGUUGAAAGCAGCACUGAUUUCUGGAUUGUGGGCCACUUUUGUUCAGGUUCCAACUAUUUUCAUGAAAAGGCACCAAAACAAUUUUUGUAGCUUACAACAUUUACUACAACUUUGCUUCAGAGGUCAUUUACAUGCAAGGUCUCUAACACUAGUUUCAUAAGAGAUCUUUAAAAAGAGGUUUAGGGGGUCAACUAGGUCAACCUAGGGUUAACCAUGACUUAGGGGCAACUUUGAGUGAAACACCUAACAUAAACUUUGUUCAAAAUGAUAUUCUAAACAUGAAUAAAGUAUUUUGGGAGACAAUGUGCAAUUGUAUACAUUAGUCAUACAUUACUUACACAUAUCACAAGCCAUAUAAGCAUUUCAAUCACAUAGUGUACACACCAAAAUGACAUGUGAUCAUGGUAUGGUGCUCAUGAGUGAGUAUGAUGAUGUUUAUGUUGAUGCAAUGCUCAUGGUUAACAUGCAUGCUAACACUACGAGUGUUACAGCCCUCCCCCCUUACAAAAAUCUUGUCCCGAGAUUUGAAAGACGUACCAUUUUUCAUAGGAGGUUUAAGUCACUUGCAAAUAGUCUUCCCUUUCCCAAGUGGCAUCCCGUUCACUUUGAUGGUUCCAUAGUACCCUAUAAAGUUUUAUCACUCUCCCACGAGUAACUCUUUCUUUGACAUCAAGAACUUGCACAGGCUUUUCUUCAUAAGAUAGAUCUGACUGUAACUUAAGACCUCCCAUUUCAACUCUUUCUUCGGGCACGCGAAGACAUUUCUUAAGAUGGGACACAUGGAAUACAGGGAAAAUAGCUCUCAUCUCACGAGGUAGUACCUUGUAAGCCACUUUGCCACUCUUCUCCAUGAUUUGGUAGGGACCCACAUACCUAGGGGCAAGUUUCCUCUUCACACCAAAGCGGUUCACUCCCUUCAUGGGUGAUACUUUUAGGCACACAAAGUCACCUACUUCAAACUCGAGUGGUUUUCUUCUUUGGUCAGCGUAGCUUUUCUGUCUAGCUUGGUCGGCUUCCAUGUGUUUCUGGAUUGUGAGAACUUGCUUUUUGGCUUCCUUGACGAAGUCAAUUCCGUAGUACCUCCUUUCACUAGGUUCGACCUAGUUUGGAGGAGUUCUACACUUGCGGCCAUACAAAGCUUCGAAAGGAGCCUUCUGAAUACUCUCUUGAUAGCUAUUAUUGUAAGAGAAUUCAGCUAAGGGUAGCCACUUCUCCCAUGCACCCUUGGAAGAGAUGACACAUGCCCUCAACAUAUUCUCUAAGAUUUUAUUCACACGCUCAGUCUGACCGGAGGUUUGAGGAUGGUAGGCUGAACUGCGAACAUACUUUGUACCAAGGAGUGAAUGUAAAUGUUCCCAGAAUCGGGCAGUGAACUGAGGACCUCUAUCAGAAAUAAUAGUGUGAGGCACUCCGUGCAACCUAACGAUCUGAGAGAAGUACAACUCAGCAUAGUUGGAUGGUCGGUAUGUAGACUGUACCGAAAUGAAAUGAGCUGACUUGGUCAAGCGAUCAACAAUCACCCAUAUGGAAUUGUAACCUUUUUGAGUAGGGGGAAGCCCAACAUUGAAAUCCAUGCUGAUUUCUUACCACUUCCAACCCCGAACCGACAAAUGUUGCAACAAUCCUGUAGGUUUAAGGUGAAUUGCCUUUACCCUGCAGCAGGUAUCACACCUAGCGAUAUAAGCUGUUAUUUCUUUCUUCAUCUUGGUCCACCAGAAAUGAGGUUUCAAGUCUUGAUACAUUUUGCUACUACCAGGAUGAAUGGACAACUUAGAGGAGUAAGCUUCAUCUAAGAUUUUAUUGCAUAGGUCAUGGUCUUUGGGUACUACCAGUCGACCAUCGAACCAUAGUACACCCUUCUCAUCUACCCAGAAAUGCUUGGUGUCUUGUUCUUUCAUUUUUCUCUUGAUAUGGAAGAUACCAGGGUCAGUCUUUUGGAGUUCUAUGAUUUGACUCUCUAAGGAACAACUGACUACAAUAUUGUGCAAGACCACUGGGUGCAAUAAAUUGAAACCUUCCUCGAGGAGAAGUCCAACAUGUUGCUUUUGGCUAAGAGCAUCUACUACGACAUUGGCCUUGCCUGGAUGAUAGUGCACUUCAAGGUUAUAAUCCUUGAUCAAUUCUAACCAUCUUCUUUAUCUCAUGUUUAGCUCGGGCUGAGUGAAGAUAUAUUUGAGGCUCUUAUGGUCAGUAUAAAUGUGACACAGAUUACCCAACAGAUAAUGCCUCCAGAGUUUUAAUGCAUGUACAACUGCUGCUAACUCUAAAUCAUGAGUCGGAUAGUUGACUCCGUGCUUCCUCACCUGUCGAGAGGCAUAGGCAAUGACUUGGCCUUCUUGCAUAUGUACACAACCUAACCCAGUGCCGGAUGCAUCACAAAAGACAUCAAAUGGGAUUUCAAUGUCCGGCUGUGCCAAAAUAGGAGCGGUGGUCACCAAAUGGCAUAAAACAGUGAAAGCGACUUCACACUCCUGAGACCACAAAAAUUUCACAUCCUUUCGCAAAAGCUUGGUCAUAGGCUUGGCUAUCUUGGAGAAGUCUGGAAUAAAGUGACGAUAAUAUCCUGCUAGACCGAGAAAACUCCGAACUUCAUGCACCGAAGUAGGGGCUUUCCAGUCUAGAACCUCCUGUACCUUUGACGGGUCAACAGAUAUUCCGUAUUCAGAUAAAAUAUGGCCUAGAAAAGGCACUUUCUUCAGCCAAAACUCACACUUGCUGAACUUGGCAUAAAGCUGGUGUUCUCACAAUCUAGUGAGUACAAUCCGAAGGUGCUUCUCUUGGUCUUGCACAUUUUCCAAAUACACCAGUAUGUCAUCGAUGAACACCACCACAAACUUAUCCAGUUCAGGCAUGAACACCGAAUUCAUCAGGUACAUGAAAUGAGCAGGGGCAUUAGUCAGACCAAAGGACAUGACUAAAUACUCAUACAACCCAUACCUGGCAGAGAAAGUCGUUUUAGGAACGUCUUCAGGCCGGAUCUUGAUUUUAUGAUAUCCAGACCUCAGAUCAAUCUUCGAGAAUACCUUAGCCUUGGCUAAUUGAUCAAAUAUAAUAUCAAUGCGAGGUAGGGGAUACUUGUUUUUGAUAGUCAUGACAUUUAGCGGACAAUAGUCUACACACUAUUGACGGUCCUUAAGUAUCAAAUUUAAUUAUCAAAUAAACAAAGAAAAGGAUCCAAAUGAAAUCAACAUCCAGACUUAGGGUUUUAUCUGACAGAAUUCCACGAGUUUUGGUGUUUGUCUAUUUCUGCAGGGGGUUAUCAGGAAAUAAGGAAGAAAGGCCCACAUGUCAGGAUUACAUAGAGAUAUCAACGCACCGCGCAAUUUUCUACCAUCUAGAAGACUCCAGAAGCCACGAGACCGAAGCGGAGGCGAAACGGGGCUAGGACCUGGGCGCCCGCCCACCUGCCGAGCCCAAUCAGGACUCUUUCUCUCGGGAGAUCUCCACCGACCUAUUGGAUCAAGGAAAACAUAGUACCACCUCGCCUACCGACCCAAAAACGCAUAGAGGAGGAGGACUAUAUAAGGAGACCCCCCUGGCCCCUGGAGAAGACAAGAAAUUAUCAUAGAGAUUGAGGGGUGCCCUCGAAGGAAAACCUCUUCUCUAAAUAAUAUUUCUUUUUAGGCUUAGCAUCUAAUGUAAAGUAGAAAUAGAUCUUCUAGUUUCUACUAGAUUGAGAGAGAUAGAGUGGAGGUGUAGAUCGGAGGAAGGCCGGCCUGUUGGUGUCUACUCCGAGUUGUACCUGCGGGAUCAAGUCUUCUAACCCGAGGCUUGCUUCUAAGAUUCUUCAGUAAUUCGACUUCUAAUUCUAGUAAGUUCUUGUUUUAUUGUUCUUUGGUUUAUGAGUUUACUUUAAUCCUCUUCCGGUUGAGUAUUAGAGUAAUCACUUGCUAGCGUAAACAUGGUGUUUAGGCUAGGGUACUCAUAGAUAUCCCCUGACUAGCUAGACCGUGGUAGUAGCGAGGAACGUGACAUUUCCGAGUUACCUUUGUAUCCCAUAUCUUGUUAGCAGGACGGGUAGGUUUAUAGGUGCGGGUCGAACAUCCUUUGUGUUGUCUAGAUUCCGUGAGCCUCCCCAAUAGAACAGUAGAUCAUCCUUACCAAGGUUAGAACAAGACUACGGUUGCAGUCUUCUCUAUACAUCACUCACAUCGAGAAACAUUCUUUGUAGCCUAAAGGGAUAGUAGUGAUAGAUUUGGUUAGUCAGAUGCACCCUUUCUCCCAGUGGUAAAAAUAUAAAUACGAUACUCUGGAAAACCUCCCUGGUGAAAUGCUCACCGAUAUUCGUACGCUUGCGGAUCAUUUUCUAAUUGCGUUACCAAAUAUCAACAAGGAUUUCUGGCGCCGUUGCCGGGGAGAAAGAUGGUUUGCUGAGAUAACUUUGAGUCUUGCUAUUAUCUUGUAUUAUACUUUUAUUCUUUUAUCUUUUUAUUUUAUCUUUAUGGAUAACUCAAAUUCCAUACCUAUUAUUGAAUUAUUUGCACCUUCGGAGACCAGCCAUAGACCAGGGGAGUCAACACGUCCUGCCCCUAAUUAUGAUCUGUGUCCGGAGUUGAUUGCAAUAGGUCAAAACCAACCCUUUUCUAUAGCCGAGGUCCUAUCUUUUAAUCAAAAAGAUAAUGCACUUUUAGCUACACCUAGGGAAUGUGUUAAUCUUUCUAUAAAUUCUGGUUUAGACCUAGCCCUACAAGACCAUGUUUUUCCUAGAUAUUUUCACAUUGGUCUUAAUCAUAUAACCUUUGGUAGAGUCUUUCUUUCUUUAUCUAUUAGUAAAGGAAGGUAUGUCUUCAUUCGUGGACAUCCUUCUUGUACUAGUCUUCAUAGAAAAAUCUUAGAGAUAGAGAAGGAAUCAUCUCCCAUACAAGGAGAGGAAGCUACAAUAGCCAAUUUCCAAACUUUUCAAUCCCAUGAUUCGGCUAUCCAUCCCAUCCUUGAGCUUAAUAGUUUCUACUAUGCUCUUUCUCUUGAACCUCCGGAUAAUCCUAUGAAUCUCUCUAGACAUCCCAUGCAUAAGAAGGAGGAUCGAGAAGAGUAACAUCAAUGGCUAGAGGGCAUUAAAAAUCCAUGUGCUAUCACCAUUGAAUGGAUAGAUAAAACAAACUUGAAAGACAAUCCUAGAGGAAUUUUAAGCAUUCAUGAAGAAUCAUCCUUGGAGUUUGAGAAUGAGAGAAACAACAGUGAGCAUGGAAGUUAUUUCAUAAAUACCUUACCAAGUCCUUGCUCAUAUAAAACAUCUCCCCAAUCAAUUGGUCUCUCCAUCCUUACCACAUUUGAGAUCUCCAACCCCCUCUUCCUUUCUAUUUAUAAAAACUUUAAAAGGGCGGUUGUCGAUGCAUAUGUCUAUAAUAAAUAUUGCAGAUCUCGUUGAGUUGAUCUUGAUAUAGGUUGGUGUUGGAGGGGAAACCACUUCACCAACAUAACUUGAUGGUUUCCCAAGGAUAAGCUUAGCGUCCUUAAACAAGCACCUAUCAGAUCGUAACAUGAACUUCUAAUUAUGUGCAACAUUGCCUUGUGUAUUGAGCAUAUUGAGAUAAUUGUAGAAAUAUUCCUUCGGGUAUUCUUGCCACUAACCUUUCCAGGAUUGUAGCAAGAAGAUCGGAUGAAUGACAAGCACAAGGUAUGUCCAAACAAGCAUCAUACAACAUUGAAUUAAAUUCAUCCAAACUUGAAUUUCACAAAAUUCAAGCUUGGGGGAGUACUCCACAUAAAAACAUCCUUUGCCAUGUUACUAUGUUGGUUGUCCUUACCUUUGAGACAUGCUCAAUUUGUUAAAUACUAAUCACACUACUUCAUCUCCACUUGAGUAGAUCUCUAUAAAUGCCAUCACGCUACCUUUGUCUAUCCUAGUAAGUGUUAGUUUGGAAGUACUGCACAUACUUCUAUUGGCUUUUAAAUUAAGCAUGGUGCUUAGGUUAAAUAGCCUUCCUUAAUUGGAUUAGACAUGGAGUCUAGUUUGGUUACUGAACUAAAAACUGCUUGAGUAGGCAUUGGUAUAUUUUGUCGGACUAACCCCUGCAGUAAAACUUUCAAUAUCAACCUGGAAAGUCCUGAGAUACAAACUCAUUGGAGACAAAGGAGACACAUGAAGUUUAACAAUUUGCACAAGAAAGACGUAGCUCAUAAGAGAUGAUCCAUGGAGGGUGCCACAAACACGAUGCACAACCGCUACGAAUGGGAAGCUUCCACAAGGUGAGAUGGUACCAUCACUCUUCAAUUAAGGUAACAUCUUAAAGUACGUGACUAUCACUUUUAUGAGUUUCUCCUUGGUUCUGGUAUACACAUGAAUAAAAGAGACAAACAUGUAUGAUUUGUAUUUCCAAAUUAAUCAACUCAAUUAAAUCAACAUAAAUAUUGAAGACCAAAUUAAUCUUUAAUCUUAGUACUACCUUCAUGAUCCCACACUCCUAAUCAUAUAAGCUAAAGUAUUGCACAUUCAAUCUUUGGAAGAUAUAAACAAAACAUAAAUAUAGAUAAAUUAUCUUUCCAUUAGGUUGAGCCAUCUGAUCUAACAAAUGUUUUAAAUGCUACACUCAUGAUCCAUCAACUUUGUCUUGCUCACUAUGCUUAAGGUUAGAGAAGAACAAAUACACUUUUGGUUCUGUUGGUGUUUUUCACCAACAGGGCCCAUGCACUUGAUCUCUGCCUUGUCUCUAUGAGCAGGAACACUUCGAGCAUAAUAUGAAGGAGUUUUACAACUCCCAGACUCCACCAAGAGAAGAACCGGGAUCUACGAGCACAGACACACUGGAGACACUGGACACUCAGGCAAUCACUGCCCUGAGAUGCUUGAGGACGUGAACUCCAUCCUCAACAAAAUCAAGGUUGGAAUCAACAGAGGCCUAAUUACUCAGAGAGGUGAUCCAGAACGCCCCGUCAUCCCGAUCUCCAUCGGCAUGGUGGACUUACCAGAAGCACUCUAUGACUUUGGCUCCAGCAUCAACAUUAUGCCCAGGGUUGCAGAUCGGACACUCAGUUUCCCAAAGGAAAUAUUGAAGAACCUCUGCGUCCGAGUUGGUACCUUGUAUGCUCUAGCAGACUUCAUGGUGAUAAAGACUGGUACUGAGGAGAGGGCACCUAUCAUCUUAGGGAGGCCAUUCCUAAACACCAGAGCUGUCAUCUACGCUAAUGCUGCCAAGAUCAGUCUCCACAUCAAGGGGAAGAAGGAGACUUUCCUUCAAGAACAAGACUACACAAACUUUAGAGCAAUCCUGACAUGAACCAAGGAAGAGGACCAAUAGGAGGAACAGGAACAAGCAAAUGUGGACCGAGUCAGCUAAGAUGGUCACUGCAGCUCAAGGAGGUCAAGAUCGUCGACUCAAGUCACCUUUCUUGAUCAAGAAGGACGACCCUGGUGUUCCAAGCAUUGAGUGCACAAUCAACAAAUACUCUUUUUAGAAGACACUCUACGACACCGAAUCUAACGUCAACAUAAUGGCCGCAGACACUUAUCAGCUGCUGCAUGGAACCAUGCCCCUACAACCAAUAUAUAUCCAGCUCCAGAUGAUUUUCAGAUCAUUGACAUGGGAGAAGAAGAGUACGAUCCACCCAUCAUCCUUGGAAGACCGUUCCUCAAACACUAUCAAAGCCAUCAUCUAUAUUGGAACCGGAGAAGUCCACAUGCACUUCCCCUCUGAGAAGGUACGCCACUACUUUAAUGAUUCUAACUAUAUAGUUGAAGAUUCUAAGCAGGUCAGGACAAGAAGAAGACAACGCGACCACAACCAGAGGAGGCAAAUCAUCAAGGACGAAUGGGUAGACUACGAAGGAGAAGUGAUAAGGUCUGAAGACAUACAACUUGAACAGAACUGUCCUGAGGAGGCCGUAGCACCGAGUCAGAUAUGGAAAGAGAAGAUAGUUAUACACGAAGAGAGGCGCCGCCGGAAUCACCGACUACGCCACCUAGCGAAUCCCAGGACGACUGAGAAAUCGAAGAGUCCCGUUCGGAGGACUUAAAAAUACCGAACACCUUGCCAAGAGGUAAACUUGGUAGUUAUCCUUUUCCUUUCAAUUAUUCAAUUAUAGUUUGCUUAGUUAAUCAGGUUCAUGCUAUCUUGAAAAGAAAAUAAAAAUGUUAAAAAAUAGUAACCCCAUGUGAGUAUGCUCAUGGCAUAAAACCCAUAAGUACAUUCACUGUGGUGGCAUAAAAAUAAAAUAAAUAAGUUUUCAUCUUACAAUAAAAAUAUAAAAAAUAAUAAGUGCAUGAUCCUGCUAAAUAAGUAACGUUUAUUGAGGAGGCUCAACAUGAUAAAGGCUAGAUAUUUAUGCUAACACUUAACCAGUUCCACAAAGCUUUGUUGUCUAUUUGCGCUCCACAGAAUUCAAGGAUCAAAGAAGACUAGCAGACGGAGGACAUCCUAAUCGCUGUCAGGGUGCUGCCGACUUUCAAAUACACCUCCAUCACCUGCUAGCUACAUCAGAAGAAAUUACGUCAAAAUCCAGCUUGGGGGAGAGCACCCCCAUUUAUCCAGCUAAGUGUUUCUACUCGCGUUUAUACUUUACUCAAAUAAUAAAAAAUGCAUAAUCAUAAAAACCCACAUAAAGAUUUUGUGCUUUUAUAUAUUCUUGCUUAGUUCGCUAAAUAAAUAAAUAAAUAAAAUUUGCUAUGAACCCUCAUGAUAAACUCUCACAUGGAAAUGAUGAAUAGUUGCUCUGCCAUGACUAGUUGUUAAAAUUGAAAUCUCUCUCAAGUUUAGGCAUGACUGUUAUGAAGUAAGAUUCGCUCUAAACCUGAACUUGUGGGAAGAGUACUUGAUCUAAAGUCUAAGUCGUUAACGGAUAUGAUAUGGGAAGGUUGAGCUGCUGUUUAUCUAUUCCUAGAGAUGCUAAAAUUCUGGAGAAUUUUAUCUUUGAAAAUCUUUAAAAUAACACAUGAUGAGUUCCUGUAUGAUGAGAGUUUAAAUUCCUACCACAGCCAUAUAUACAUGCUUGCUAGACUUUGAGCCACACAUUUACUUUUUACUGCUUAUGAGCAUUGAGUGUGGUCAAGCUGUGUAGACCCUAAGGAGCUUGUCAUGCGGUUAAAAUCAAGAUUCACUUGCACGUUCACUCGUAUAUGCUGCUUCUACUCCGGAAGUACCAUCCACAUAUAUCCACUCAUUUCCAUCUCCAGAUUCACCCAAAAUUAUUCUACUCCUAAUCCGGGAGAGAAUAGCCAAAAAUAUUUUCCUAUCCCUGUUAUUCCCUGUGAAAUAAAUGCUCAAGUUAUCUUGGUUACUACCACUUGCUAUAUUAUUUCAGGAGAUGAGUGCUCUCUAAAAAAAAGAGAAAAAAAAGAAAAAAAAAUAAUACGAGGAAAUAAAAAGGGGCAAGUGCCCGGAACCUCGAAGAAAAGAAAAAGUGAGACGAGAGGUAAAAAUGGACAAGUGUCCGACAGUAGAAUUAGGGGUACAAGAUACCCACCUGAGAGGAAAGAAAAAGAAAAUAUAGAGCAUCUCAUUCUCCUCAAAAAAAACUUCAAAGUGCAAGAAAGGUAUGUAUCCCCUCAAAAGAGCAAAAGUAGAAUUAGACUUUCACCAUUAUUAUCACCAUCAUCACCAUACACCAUUCAUUCGCCACACAUGCACAUCUUGAUUUGACUUAUUGACUUGUUUCUCUAGAUCCAUGGUUUGACUAUGCAAUAAAUGUCUUGUAAGUAUGUAUUAGCUGUCUCCCACCUAUGAGCUCCAGAUAUCAAAACCUUAUUAGAGUAGGGUGAGAGAGAAGGCAAUAUCACUAUGCCUCAUACCACAAAUACUACAUACUUUGAGAGAAGGCAUAUAUCAUUACUGCCCUGGUAAGGAUCUAGAAAUACCACAAAAGAGAGAUCUAAGAGAGUCAUAUAAGGAAUCUCUGAGUUUUAUUUGAAAAUCUGCAAAAACUCCAGAGCUAUAGCUAAUCAAGAAUAAGAGACAUGGCGCUUGACUUGACCGUUCUAUCUUUUAACUGCUCAAGACACAAGUGACGGUUACAAGCCCCAUGGUGAAGGUAAAAUGAGUAAAUUUUAAGUCUUAACAGUUUAUUCUAACUCAGAGAUAAGAUCUUGCUUGAAUGCGUGUGUACUUUUAAGAAAUGAAACCACUGCAGAAACUCUUGAGUUCAUCCUUGCUCAGGGACGAGCAAGAGGUAAGCUUGGGGGAGUUGUUGACGGUCCUUAAGUAUCAAAUUUAAUUAUCAAAUAAACAAAGAAAAGGAUCCAAAUGAAAUCAACAUCUAGACUUAGGGGUUAUCUGACAGAAUUCCACGAGUUUUGGUGUUUGUCUAUUUCUGCAGGGGGUUAUCUGGAAAUAAGGAAGAAAGGCCCACAUGUCAAGAUUACAUAGAGAUAUCAACGCACCGCGCAAUUUUCUACCAUCUAGAAGACUCCAGAAGCCACGAGACCGAAGCAGAGGCGAAACGGGGCCAGGACCUGGGCGCCCGCCCAGUUUCCUUGGGCCCACCUGCCGAGCCCAAUCAGGACUCUUUCUCUCGGGAGAUCUCCACCGACCUAUUGGAUCAAGGAAAACAUAGUACCACCUCGCCUACCGACCCAAAAACGCAUAGAGGAGGAAGACUAUAUAAGGAGACCCCCCUGGCCCCUGGAGAAGACAAGAAAUUAUCAUAGAGAUUGAGGGGUGCCCUCGAAGGAAAACCUCUUCUCUAAAUAAUAUUUCUUUUUAGGCUUAGCAUCUAAUGUAAAGUAGAAAUAGAUCUUCUAGUUUCUACUAGAUUGAGAGAGAUAGAGUGGAGGUGUAGAUCGGAGGAAGGCCGGCCUGUCGGUGUCUACUCCGAGUUGUACCUGCGGGAUCAAGUCUUCUAACCCGAGGCUUGCUUCUAAGAUUCUUCAGUAAUUCGACUUCUAAUUCUAGUAAGUUCUUGUUUUAUUGUUCUUUGGUUUAUGAGUUUACUUUAAUCCUCUUCCGGUUGAGUAUUAGAGUAAUCACUUGCUAGCGUAAACGUGGUGUUUAGGCUAGGGUACUCAUAGAUAUCCCCUCACUAGCUGGACCGUGGUAGUAGCGAGGAACGUGACAUUUCUGAGUUACCUUUGUAUCCCAUAUCUUGUUAGCAGGACGGGUAGGUUUAUAGGUGCGGGUCGAACAUCCUUUGUGUUGUCUAGAUUCCGUGAGCCUCCCCAAUAGAAAAGUAGAUCAUCCUUACCAAGGUUAGAACAAGACUACGGUUGCAGUCUUCUCUAUACAUCACUCACUUUGAGAAACAUUCUUUGUAGCCUAAAGGGAUAGUAGCGAUAGAUUUGGUUAGUCAGAUGCACCCUUUCUCCCAGUGGUAAAAAUAUAAAUACGAUACUCUGGAAAACCUCCCGGGUGAAAUGCUCACCGAUAUCCGUGCACUUGCGGAUCAUUUUCUAAUUGCGUUACCAAAUAUCAACACACACAUACGGACAGACUUGUCCUUCUUCUUGACAAAUAGAGCUGGACAACCCCAUGGAGAAGAACUAGGCCGAAUAAGACCUUUCUCUAGGAGUUCUUGCAAUUGCUUCUUCAAUUCUGCCAGUUCAUUGGGUGGCAUUCGAUAUGGCCUUCUAGAGAUGGGUGCGGUACCCGAAAUUAGAUCAAUUUUAAACUCUACGUCUCUGUCCAGAGGCAACCCGGGCAGAUCCUCAGGAAAGACAUCCGGGAACUCACAAACUACAGGAAUCUCUGCCACAGUGAGUGGUCUGAUAGCAUUUGCAGCGUGACGGAUGUCGUCGUUUUUUGGGAAGUUGGACUAAGAAAGCUUCUUUGCUAUCAGGCUCCCUCAACAUGACUACCCUUGUUGAGGUAUCUAUUAACACCCCAUGCUUACUCAUCCAGUUAAUUCCCAGAAUAACAUCUAUUCCCAAGCCCGGCAAGAUUACCAGAUUUGCUGAGUAAUUACACCCUUCAAUGGUGAUAUGCACAUCCCUCACUAACUGAUUCGUAGAUUUGAUUACCAGCAGCACUAAUGCAAAAUUUGCCCUGGUCAAGAUCAACUAGAUGUUGCCGAUGCUUAGAUGCGAAUGCUUGACUCAUAAAAGAAUGCAACGCUCCAGAAUCAAACAAGACAACUGCGGGAUGUUGGUUGACAAGAAACAUACCAACAGUAAUCUUCACCUGCGGAGAUUUCUUCAACGGUGCUAUAAUGCACUCGGCCGGUACGAGUAUUAACCCCAGCUGCAGAAGUCUUCUUAGGAUAAGGGCAAUCCCUUGCCCAAUGAGCAACCUAUUUGCAAUUGAAGCAGGGACGGUUAUCAGGGGGAGUUUUGGAGCUCCCUUGACCUGUGGCACCUCUAGGAUGAGCAACUGUGAAGGACUUGCGAACUCCCAUAUUCACAUUUGACUUCUUCUGCGGCGGCUUGUACAUUGUCACAGCAUUGGGUGGGCGAUAGGCCGGCUUACUUGUCACCGGAGCCUUAGACUGUGAAGCACCAUCUUCAUAGGCCCUCUUGCGGUUCUUGGAUGCAGCAUAAAUAGCAUUAGAGUUCUCCUGGGUCAAUGCAUCGCUCACAAACUCAUUGAAGGUUGUAAUCUUGUUACCAACCAUAUUCUUGGACAACUUAGGCCUAAGUCCUCUCUUGAAACUAGCAAGCUUCUUAGCAUCGGUGUCAACAAACUCAGUAGCAUAGUGAGACAAAUUAUUGAAGGCAUGAAGAUACUCAGUCAAACUUUUGGUGCCCUGAGUUAAGUUCAUGAACUCGAUAUGCUUGAUGGUCAUUAAGUCCUGCGGAAUAUAAGUGUCCCUAAAAGCAGUUUUGAACAGAUCCUAGGUUACAACAGCAUUGGCAGGCCAGCUGGCCCUAUGAUGGCUCCACCAAACACCUGCUUUGCUUUCCAAUUGGUGUGCUGCAUAUUCCGUUUUCAGCUCCUUAGUCACCUCAGCAAGCGGAACUUCUGCUCGAGAGUGUUGAGCCAUUCAUCAGCUUCCAAAGGUUCAGAGGCCUCCUUGAACACCAGCGGCUUGGUAUCCUAAAAAUCCUUGAAAUUACUAUACUGAUUCGCUUCUCCGCCUUGACGGGCAUGGCGACCACCCCGGUUCUGUUGCGCCAUGGUUUGCAUAGCUUCAUUGAGCAUCCGCUGGCCCUCAACAAGAGUUGCUAGGAGCUCAGCAGGCGUAGGCGGGGGAGGAGGUGGUGGUGGCGGCACCUCAUUAUGGCCUAAGCGAGUAUUGCGAGCCAUUUGCACAAGGUAUACCAAGUAACCGUUUAGGAUGACAGAAAUAAUUGCCAUAAAUCUCAGUUGAUGCCAUACGGAAUUUACUGAAAUAAAUCCACAUAAUACAAGGCACAAUAAUCGAUUUACAACAAGUGAACAUCAUCCACGAUAUUGGUUACACUUGCAAUCUUUCUCAACCACAUGAAUUCUCAGGGAUUAAAGACAUCACUGGAAAUUUAUUCAAGCUCAACAUAAACAUGGAGCAUCAUAUACAAGUGCAUAUGAUUACACAAGGUCAUUGUUGCAGCUUAAGUCUUACAAGAGGGGCAUCAUGGCCAAUACAAAGAGUCUCAACUGAAAAUUUAGAUUACAUGUCCAAUACAUAAAGAGACAGGAGCUGGUACAUAAUUAUGGAAACCACUGCUAAACUACAGAUCUUCCUCAGAUUCUUCAUUCGAGACUAUGCCAUCAUCCUGAUCUUCCUCAUUGGGAUCCUCUUCAUGAUUAACAGGGACAGGAUGUGGAAUAGGAUUUAUGACAUUGUUUAAGCGAUGGACAUCUAACUGCAGCUCAGCAAUCCUGUGAAUUAGCUCUUGCUCUCUAACCUUAGCUUGGAACAAGGCUCUAACUCUAGCAGCUUCUCUAUUUUCAGCCAAGCGCAUAGCAUCAUCUCGCUCUCUAGUCAUUUGCAUCAUGCGGGCUUGUGCCUCAUUGUGCUCUCUAACUGCGUUUUAAACUUGGUUGCGGCGGGCUUGCGCGGUAUGAUAGUUUUGAAUUUCAGCUUGUGCAUCACUACAGGCUUUGCGGUGCUUCCGCACGUGCUUGCGUAGUUUGCGCUGCCCAGCUUGGGCUUGCUGGAGCGCUAGCAUGGCUUCUACAUAGGUGUCUUGGCGUACAUAGUAUAGCUUGAGUACCGCCAGCAUGGCACUCAUGGCGGGGCUAGAGCUAUACCCUAACAUAGUUUCUCUGAUCUCCAGGGGCUCAGUUCCUAUCUGGGAUACAAAGGUGUCAGUUACACUCACUCUAGGAAGAGAUCCAGCUGGACCAUUAACUAGCUCAUCACCAAAGUCCUGGCAUAUUUCCAACAACACUUCUAAGGCUGCUACUUGGGCACCCUCCCAAGGAGUUUGACCAUCGGACUCCACUACCCAUCCUAGCCACUGUGGGUUGUUUGGACAAGGAGGAACUGUAAUUUGGACAUCUACCCAAGGCAAGGAUCCUGCAUGAUCUGCCUCUCUCCAAGUAUACUGGAGUGGUUCCUCAUAUCCCAGUGAACUUAGCAUCCUCCACAACAAAGUAGGAGUGCCAAACAUGUCCAGAAAAGUUUCACUUGUAUGUGGGGCUGUCAUCUGUAGGGAAAGACCACAAUUGAGUAGGGAAAAUUCACUUACAAGAGAAGAUAAUUAGGUACAAGUUUCAGAUUUACAAUAAUUUAAGUAGUGCACAAAGGGAUGCAUGAAUGAUUCAUGAUGCAUGCAUGUUUCAUACGUCCUUACCACUCCUAAAAAAGAAAAUUCUAGCGGAAUAGUCGGUGGCAUACAUACGUGCUCUCUUUAUACGUAACUACACGGUCUACACGUUUCGCUCUUAGCGUACCUGCAGAAAAUCUCAUUUUAGCCCACCCACAAUAAUAUAUGUGUGGAAAUGAAAGUCUUGAUCUUCUAAAGUCAAGCUAGGUACUCCGAUAUACAUACCCGAACAUAUAUCGCAGCACACUACCCGUGUGAAGUACGCCCAUAUAUACAUCAAAUAUGUAUACACGGUUGCACCAACUGUCCACAAUUAAGUACCUUCAUAUAUACAUGUGUGCAACAUGUAAAUAUUCCAGUAACCACAACUAACACUCCCUAGACCGACGGUUGGACGGUCAUGCUCUCACAGCUCACACUUACCAUAGCGUAGAGGCACAUAGAUCCAUGCAUUACCACUCAAGUAAGUGGCACCCAUACAAUUUCACGCCGUAUGGAUGACGAAAGGAAAACAUUGCUUACCAUGGCGUAGAGGUAUAUGAUCCAUUCAUUACCACUUAAGUAAGUGGCAUCCAUACUAUUGCACGCCGUAUGGAUGACAAAAGGAAAAACCCCCAUGUUAGUAAUACUUAGCCACCUAGAAGUCCUUAAGCGGGCAUAAAGGGGUAUGACCACUAGCAUGGUAUAUUUUGUUCAAUCAUUUUAAAACAGUCAUAUGCAUAGUCUAAUUUACCAAUUAGUUUGGAAAAAAAAUUCAUUUGUUUUUAAAUACAUCUAUGAUGGUUAAAUGCUUAAUCUUGCUCCGAUGCCAGCUGUAACAGAACCGUCCAAUUUAUAAGAAUUCAAGUGAAUUAAUGACCACGAGAGUAGUCAAGCCAAAGGACUUGAACCCAUAUAAACCUGGUUGUCAGACGAAACCUCAAAAGAUCUCGAUUCAACAAACAUACAACCAAGACCGUACAUGAUCAAGCAUCUCCAUCACAAAUUACAACAUUCAUUACAGAACAUAGUUUUACACACAUCAGAGUUCAAAUAAAGUUGUUACAACAUGGUUCAGUAGCGGAAGCAAAGUAGUUUUGAAACAACGCACACACUUAGUUUAUUUACAUGCCACCUCCAUGAUCAUCCCAACAAAAGCACAACCGAAGAUACAAGACGUGAUUUUGCCUGAGAUCUACUCAUCCUCCGUAGCCAGAUUGUGACAGUUAGCAUAGUAGCCGUGAUACACGACAUCAUCUGCAACCAGGGUAAAUAAAACCCUGAGUACGAGAAUGUACUCAGUUAGACUUACCAGCCAUAAACCAGAAAUAAAGGGACACCAAGGAGUAUGCAAGGCUCAUAUUUGUGGCUGGUUUGACUCACAUUUUUGCAUAAAAAGCUUUAGCUUUGAUUAACCCAUUUAUAACAUUUUCAGCAGCAAGUUCAUUACUUAAAUAGCUAUCCACUAGAUUAGCACCUGUUCUAAGCAUACACUUGAGUAUUAAGCAUCACAAUAACAAUCAUAAAUGGAUUAUCACAUAGCCAUCAUCUUUCUCAUCAUAACCAUUAAGUAUAUUUAAUGAGAUCUACGUUGCCGCUGCUCGAGUCAAGUUUUCACUAUCCGGGAGAGACGGCGAUUUGAAUCGACUUAUCCGGCUGGAGAUGCACUCCUAGGCUUCGCGGUUGGAACGACUUAUCCAGCCAACUAAGUGUUAGGCAUGCGUUCAACAUGACAAGAGGACGUACAGCGUAUCGGUCCUUAAACGACUCAGACAGGGAUAGAUUCACACCCAAGACCUCCAUGCCUUGUUGCUUCACUAUCGUCAUCCCGCCCAGUCUCAAUUCAUUAUUAGCACAUGGUUAUCUCCACGAGAGCAAUUAUAGCCAACCCUGAUCAAGUAUCCACCUAUCUCUCGCAGGUGACAGGAAAUCACCCGGCUUCUACCGAGCUAAGCAUGGCUAAGCAUUAAUUCGAUCCUGGACCUACUCAGGUGAGGUAUAAGAUGCACAAGUCAGUCAUUAUGCAGCAAGGUUGUUAUAUCAAUGCCUAACACUUAAUGCAACACUACAUAACUAUAGUUAAUUGACAACUGGACAUGAUAACAAAAUAGUAGGAGUCUUAUAAUGCUCCGGGGCUUGCCUUCGAUGUAGGUGGAAGGACAAUGGCCAGGACACUCCGGUAGGUCCUCCUCCUCCUCCUCAGUUCCUUCUCCUUGAGAUGGCUCUCUCUGCUGCUCCUCUGGCUCGGGUGGUGCGAACUCCCGAACCGUCACGCCCUUGGGUACACCUAUGUAUGCAUGACAAGGUAGUAAACAUAGGGAAUGCACAUAUGAUGCAAUGUAUCACGCUGGGGAGCCAAAGGAACACAUAUCAAGGAGCAAACACAAUCACAAGCUUAUGAGAUUAAGAUGAUCAUGAAACAACAAGUAAGUGCAUACUUUCUCUGGUAGAGAGGCUAACUAGACAAGCUAAUCGACCCUAGCUACUCAUACCUCAACAACUGGGGUCAUGGCAGACUGGGUAGUCACAAAUUUUAGCUAUAACUUAGUCGUCAGUUGGCCAAACUAAGCAAGUAAGCACUUUCUAGGAAGCUUAACAAAUUAUCUACAAAUCACUUUUAGACAUGACAGAGAGAUUCCCAACCGAAAUGGACUAAAACAGACUAGGUCUCGUGGCUGCUCUGGAAAAUCCAGAGAACAAGCACUUCGCAGUAGCUACUUGUAACAGCCACAACUUUUAAACUACUCAGCCAAAUACUAUGAAAUUUGGACACAAGGCAGAUAAGUAAGAUAGAUACAAAUUUGUUAUAGGCAAGUUUUCCAGCAAACUUUAUCUUCAAGCAGUUCUCAAGAAAUUUCUAUCAGCUACCCAGAAUGUACUCUAGACAAGGCAUAAAUAGCAAAAUAAGAUUUUAGCACAUAUUAAGAAUGUAACAUUGGUUCAAACCAAAAAUACCAGUAGCUAGAACAUGUCUAGGAAAGAUCAUAAAACAUCAUGGCAAGGUUUACACUCAUAUUUAUUAUCCCCUUUUCUAUUUAUUUGAUUAUUAAGGUGAAUUAAUGAGCAUGUAGUACAAGUGCUCCAAAAAUUCUAACAAAAUUACAGCAAGCUUUCUAGGCUACCACAAGGUUACUGUAAAAUUUUCAUGGCUCUUGCACAUGCAGAUGGUGAGGUACAAAAAUGACAAGCUACUCAUCGCAUUAGAGGCAUAAAUCUGAAAUCCUAUCAAAAAGUGUCAAACAACAGAUUUCACAUUUUUCCUAGCUUUAACUUGACAUGUUUACAUCACCCAGCAAGUUCCAUCAUAAAAGGAGCCAUACUCUAUUUAUUAAAAAUACCACAAAAACUCCUAUUUAGUCAAAGAAUAUUUAUAACUUCACCACAAGGCAUCCAAAAAUCAUGAACAAUUUAUCAGAGCCUACACAUAGCAUAAAUAACAAUCUCCUAAAUUUGCAUGGUGAUAGGACGUACAGAUCUCAAGAUAUAUUUACCUUCUUUUUAUCAAGGAUUAAAUCAUAUCUAUUUAUUUCUUCAAAAACAUGGCAUAUUUCAUAUUUUUAUUAAAAACUAGACUAACUCAAGAGUGUGAUAAAAUUGGAAUCUCUCCAUUUGGAUCUGUCUAACUCAAGUUAUGAAUUUUCCAAAACAGCAUGGAAUAUGUCAAAAAACAAAAAUAGGGGGAGAGAGGGACAGUGACUGACAGAGGGACCCACUGGUCUGCAGGACCCGCUUGAUAGUGACACAGAGACAGGGGAGAGCUCUUCGCAGGUGAAACUCGACGACGGCGAGGUCUCGGCCGAAUCCAAGGGCACAGUCGUGACCCUCUCACCAAGGCGGACCUAACGAGCUACGAUACCCUCACUCUACCAAGCUCUACGGGGCUCGUCGGCGUGAAUGGUGAAAGCCCUAGUUUGGUUUUAGAUAAUUGAGGAAACCCUAGUACUAACCUCCAUACUAAGUGUGUGUAGACUUAAUGAGGUUGGUACAUGCCAAGUGAUAGAGCAAGUGAUGAUUAUGGUAAUGAUGGUGAUGACCACAAGGUGAUCAAGUGCUCAACUUGAAAAGAAGAAAGAGAAAAACAUAACCCUAUGGAGUUCAAGGCAAAGGUAUUGCUUAGGGUUUUGAUUUUGGUGAUCAAGACACCACAGAGGGUGUGAUCACAUUUAGGAUAGAUAGCCGUACUAUAAAGAGGGGAAUUCUUUGGAUAAGCGGUUAUCAAGUGCCACUAGGUGUCAUUGUUCAUGUGCAUGCAUUUAGAACCUAGUGAGCUAACUUAACUCAUUGAAUGUACUCAGUUAGACUUACCCGUCAUAAACUAGAAAUAAAGUGACACCAAGGUGUAUGCACAUCGUGGUUUACACAUUGUGGUGUUGGCACACUUUAGAAAAUGUUUGUGAAAAUGCUAUCACAUGUGCACAUGUUGGUUUACACAUUGUGGUGUUGGCACACUUUGUUGGAGUUUUAAUGGUAGAGAGAGGAUGGGUUUCUCUCUCCCUGCCCCCGAGCUUGCGAGGCGGGAUUCGGCGCUUUUUGAGAAAAAGAAGUGCAUAUUUUUCUAUUGCGCCGGUGGGAAGUUUGGAGAAGUCUCAGGAGUGUGUCUCACUGAGAAACACUCACUGGAUGCUGGACACUGAGGCACCGGACGUUGUGUCUAUGCGUCCGGUGUAGUCUGUGCCUGGCUCAGCUAGGGUAAGGCACCGGACGCCUAGCUUGUCCAUGCUUGUGCGUCCGGUGGUACGAGUCAGGUGUGCGGUCCGUUUGCAAUCCUCCCUACGAAUUAGUCCGGUGCUCAGCAUCCGGUGAUCCAGCGCAUUUGCAAACCUCUCUGUGUUUAAGUCCGGUGAGUACUGGACGCAUCAGGUGGCAACUUAACCACGUCUGGUGCUUUGCAGGAUACCGUUAGACUCUGACGUGUGAGUUUCAAAAGGUGACAUGUGGCUGUUUCUGGAGCACCGGACGCAGGGGUUGAGCAUCUGGUGCCUCCUGCGUAGCGUCCGGUGACCCCGUGUUUCGUCCAGUGAAAGAGCCAACGACUCUAUUUGUUUGAGGGGUCUAUAAAUACGUGUUGGCCGGCUUAGGGCUUAUACUUUUGGCAUUCUAGUAUACUUGACAUCCUUGUGAGCCUAAGCAAACACCUCCCACUCAUCUCCUUCAUAGAUUAUUCAUCUUUGUGAGAUUGGGAGUGAUUCCAAGUGCAUUUGCUUGAGUGAUUGCAUCUAGUGGAACUUGGUAAUCGUUCUAGCAGCGAUUUUCUUGUUACUCUUGGUGGUUGCCGCCACCUAGACAUUUUGGUGCAGCGUAGGAGCAUUGGCAUAAGUUGUUAAUUGUUCGUGGCCAUCUCCCUUGAUUGUGAGGGGUCUUGUACCUUCCACUGUGGAGAGCCGAAAGGUAACUCUAGUGGAUUGCUCGUAUUAUUGAGUUACCUCACUUGUGGGUCGGUUCUUGUAGUGUCAUAGUGAGGACGAGGUUUGUGCUACACCUCGUAGCCACCGAACCACCAAGUGUUGGUCGACACAACGGGGACGUAGCGUGCCGGCAAGCACAUGAACCUUGGGAGAAAAAUUGUUUGUCUCCAUUGUGUUUGGAUUUCUCCCAGUGAUUCGACUUCAUAUUAUUGAUUGGUUCAUCCCCUCUACGCGGCGGUAUAAAGAUCAAACCAUCUCUCUUACAUUCCCACAAACUAGAGUAGCUUAAUUACUUGUAUAGAAACUUUAGAUAGCUCUCUAGUGUAAGUAGUGACAUAGCUCUUGUGUGCCUAGUGAUCAUAUCAACUAGAAUUGUUGGAUAGGUGGCUUGCAAACACCCCAUUAGAGCUAGAGCAAAAAGCUACACUUUGUUAUUUACUAACCACUUGCUCUAGUGAGUUUUGUAGAAUUUUUAAAUAGGCCAUUCACCCCCCUCUAGCCAUAUAACCUUUCAAGUGGUAUCGGAGACGUGAUCACCGUCUUGUGAAGGCUUAACAACCUCGUUGCUCAAAUGGCUCAAAUAGUGUUCAACCAUGUUGGGGGCAAACCACAGUUCUUUGAUGGCACAAGAUCUUUUGACUAUUGGAAGAGAAAAAUGAAGAUGUACCUUGGAUCAAUUAAUGAUAGAGUGUGGGAAGUCACGGAGAAUGACUUUGUGAUCCUUGACCCCGCCAACCCCACCGACAAAGAGAGAGCAAACAAGCAAUGCAAUACAAUGGCUCUCAAUACAAUCUAUAAUGGCAUUGAUUCAAAGGUAUUUGAACAAGUCAAAUAUCUUGAGAAGGCAAGUGAAGUGUUGACAAGGCUAGAAGAAACAUAUGAGGGCACUACAACGGUAAAAAGUGCCAAAUUGUAUAUGCUCAAGGACAAGCUAUCCAACUUCAAGAUGAAGGAUGAUGAGUCUAUACCGGAGAUGUUCUAUAGGCUCCAAGUCAUCAUCAAUGAUCUCAAGGGCCUUGGUGAGAAAGUGAAGGAUGAGGACUUCAUUCACAAGUUCUUGAUGUGCUUGCCCAAGAGGUUCAAGACAUUGAGAACCAUCAUAUUUAGAGGAGGAUUGACGGGUGUAUCUCCCAAUGAGGUACUUGGAGAUGUCAUGACUGAAGACCAAUACAAUGACAAUGAUGAUGAUGAAGUCAUGAAGAAAGAGGAUGAUGAUAAAAAGAAGAAGAGCGUAACAUUCAAAGCUAGCUCUUCAUCCAAGAGCAAGAACAAGGGCAAGGCCAAGAAGGAAGAAUCAAGUGAUGAGGAGUGCUCUAAUGAUGAUAGUGAUGAUGAAGCACUAGCACUCUUUGUCCGCAAGUUUGGCAAGAUGAUGAAGAAGAAGGGCUACCAAACAAGAAAGAGAAGGGACAACUCCAAGAACAAGGAAUAUGUGAGGCUAUGCUACAAGUGCAAGAGCCCCGAUCAUAUUGUGGCGGAUUGUCCAUACAAUAGUGAUCAUGAUGAGCAUGAGAAGAAGAACAAAAAGGAUAAGAAAAGAAAAGAAGGACAAGAAGAUGGUCUUCAAGAAGAAGAAGAAGGGUGGAUCCUAUGUUGUGACAUGGGAUAGUGAUGCCUCUUCGGAUGAUGAUUCAAGCGAUGAUAUUGUUGACGGUCCUUAACUACCAAAUAUAAUCAUCAAAUAAAUAACGAAAAGGAUCCAAAUACAACCAACACCCAAACUUAGGGUUUUAUGUGACAGAAUUCCACGAGUUUUGGUGUUUGUCUAUUUCUGCAGGGGGUUAUCAGGAGAUAUGGAGGAAAGGCCCACAUGUCGGGUUUACAUAGAGAUAUUAACGUGCCACGCAAUUUUCUAUCAUCUAGAAGACUCCAGAAGCCACGGGAACGAACGGGAAGGCGAUCGGGCCAGGGGACAGGGCGCCCGCCCUCCCCCCUAGGGCGCCCGCCCUAAGUUAGGGUCCAAUCAGGACCUGUUUCGCGAAUUACGCUCCACCGACCUAAAGGAUCAAGGAUAAUCAUUCAAUCAAUGUUGGUUUGAUACGACGGCCCAGAUUCACUUGAGGGGACUAUAUAAGCAGACCCCCUGGCCCCUCGAGGAGAACAAGUUCAUUGUAGAGUCGAGAGGUGCCCUCGAAGGAUAACCUUUCCUCUACAUAGACAGAGCAAAAGCUAGGGUUUGGAGAUGAGAGCUCUCCUCUCAUCUCUAAACUAGAGUAGAUCUAGAUAGUAGCGAGAUGGAGAGCGAGGGAGGAUUGGAGGAGAGGCCGGCCUGUUGGUUCUUCCUCCGGUUGUACUUUGCCAUGAUCAAGCUCUAAUCAAGCUUGCUCAUGGGAUGACUAUGGUAAUCUACUUCUAUUUCAUUAUGCAAUUACUAUUCAUGUAUGUUCUGGUUCACAACUCUUUUGAGUACUUUUAAUCUAUAGGACCCUAUAGGUUAGAGUUGUAGUAUAGGUGUAAGCGUGGUGCUUAGACCUAGAUUACUUGUGGAUAUCCCCUGUCUAGCUGGAUCAUGUGGUAGGCCGCGUAGGUGACAGUUACGUUGGUCCCCUGUAGUCCACCUCCUGUUAGCAGGACAGGUAGGGUUUAUCGGCCUAUGGAUAAGCAUCCUUUGUGGUGUAUUCUUAUCACGUGGUUCGUCCCAGACAUAGACAUACCCCUUUGAAGUAGAGAAACCAUAGUUAUCCUCUCUUUUCUCCUACCAUCGCCCAUAUAUUAGAUUGCUCUACUCUCUAUUCCCAUAUUAUCACCCAUUGUUAUCUUACCUUUAAUAUUGUUCUUAUUCAAGUCUACCAUCUUUCCUAUUUACACUUACCCAUCUAUCUAGGUUAAGUUAGAGCGUAGAUCAGUUCUCCCGUUUCCCUGUGGAUACGAUAAAACCUUUAACCGGGUAAAAGCUGCAACGGUAUCUGUGUGCGUAUAAAUACCAUAGUACACUCUAGUGCCAUGCUGGGGAUGACAACCUAGUAUUCAAGUGGUGUUAGCAAGUAUCAACAAGCAUUUUUGGCGCCAUUGCCGGGGAGACGGUUGCUGAGUUGACUACGAACUAGCUUAAUCAUUUUCUAAAAAAUAUUAAAAAAAACUUUUCCUUUUAUCCUUUGCCUCAGCUCUGCUAUUCUUUCUUAUUAUCUAACCCUUGAUCUCUGGUCUAUCAUGAAUUCAAACAUGUCUAUUUAUGAAUUUCAUAGACCUACGGGAAGACAUUUUGAACCACCAAAAUCUUCAAAGCCUAUCAUAGCAUCUAGUUUUGAGAUAGACCCCGAAUACAUAGAAUUUGUUAAAAAACAACCUUUCUCAGGAGAAGGUGAGGAAAACUCAUACACACACCUAAGAGAGUAUUAUCGAGUCUGUGCCCUCCUUCGCAUAGAAGGCAUGUCCGAUGAGACCCUUAAAUGGAAGCUCUUUCCACUCUCUUUAACAGGAAAAGCUAGACAUUGAUACAAACUCAAAGUAGGGAGUAUUCAUGGAGAUUGGAAGGAGUUGUAGAAUAGUUUUAUUUUUAAAUAUUUUCCAAUCUCCAAAGUGGCGGAACUUCGGCGUGAUAUUCUUUCUUUUAGACAACUAGAAGAAGAAUCUCUCGGCAAAUCCGCUUUAUUAACCUUACUCUCACUGGCCCAAAGCUUUCUAUUCCAGUAGAAGUUCUUCUAAUUCACUUUUUUGAGGGCCUUAGUAGGGAAAAUAAGCAAACCGUAAAUAAAACCUCUAGAGGAUCCUUCUAUCACCUACCUGCUAGUGAAGGUAGGGAUUUAAUUGAUUCAUUGAGUGGAAAGUUUCCUAGCACUUAUAUCCCUAAGAAAGAGAAAGAACCAGUUCCUAGACAAGAAGAAGAAGUUUCGAUAGCCAGAUCACAACCACUUCAAUUCCAAACUUUAGCUAUCGAUCCUAAACCAUCAAUAUCCCAAAAUUCUCCAAGGGAGGAAGGAAUUACGACCUUAAAUCUUUCAAAUGCUGAUGGUUUAGACUUCUGGUUCCAUAAGAGACCUUCAAGUAGGGAUAAUUCAAAUCCUUGCAAUAAUGGUUCUCUUAGAGAAUGUCCUUGUUCCUAUUAUGAAGAAGUCGAUGAUGACAUAUCAAGUGAAGGAGAGCUAAGCCAUAUAGAAAAUUCUAUAUGCUCCCCUUCCAUGUUUACAAGUUCUAAAUCCAUCCUUGACCUUAGAGAUCCCUCUUAUCCCCCUCCUUUACAGUCUCAUGAGGAUCCUAGUAAUUCACCAAGACAACCAAACCAUAGGAGUCAUGAAGACCAUAAGGAUGGCAUGUCAAGUAAUGCCAUAGAAGGAGAGCUAAGCCAUAUAGAAAAUUCUAACACCUCCCCUUUCCUGAUCACAAGUUCUAAAUGGCUAGAAUGUGUAGAAUGGAUGGAUAAGGAAGAAGCCUUAAUGGAUUCUGACUUUGGCUCAAUUUCAAAUGGUGAGUUCUUGACUCCCUUUGAAGAUGAGAUUCAUCCAACUACAAAAGAGGACAUAGGUGAGACCAAUCCAGGAGAAACUCCGAACAUUCAGAUUGGAGAUGAAGAUAACAUUAAUGAGCAUGGAAUUUAUUUCAUAGCCACUUCGUUUACUCCAUGCUCAUAUGCAACAUCUUCCCAAUCUAUUGGUCUCUCCAACAUGACCAAAUUUGAGAUCUUCAACCCCCUUUUCCUUUCUAUUUAUAAAAACUUUAAAAGGGCGGUUGUCGAUGCAUAUGUCUAUAAUAAAUAUUGCAGAUCUCGUUGAGUUGAUGUUGAUAUAGGUCAGCGUUGGAGGGGAAACCACUUCGCCGACAUAAAUUGAUGGUUUCCCAAGGACAAGCUUAGUGUCCUAAAAUAAGCACUAAUCAGAUUGUAACAUGAGCUUUACCUUGUGUUUUGAGCACAUAAAGAUAAUUGUGAAAAUAUUCCUUCGGGUAUUCUUGUCACUAACCUUUCGAGGAUUGCAGCAAGAAGAUCGGAUGAACGACAAGCACAAGGUAUGUCCAACCAAUCAUCAUGCAACACUGAAUGAAAUUUAUCCAAACUUGAAUUUUGCAAAAUUCAAGCUUGGGGGAGUACCUUACAUAAAAACAUCCUUUGCCAUGUUGCUAUUGAUUGUCCCUACCUUUGAGACAUGCUCAAUUUGUUAAAUACUAAUCACACUACUUCAUCUCCACUUGAGUAGAUCUCUAUAAAUGCUAUCAUGCUACCUUUGUCUAUUAACAAGCAAGUGUUGGUUUGGAAGUACUCGGCAUACAUCCAUUGGCAUUUAAAUUAAGCAUGGUGCUUAGGUUAAAUAGCCUUCCUUAAUCUGAUUAGACAUGGAGUCUAGUUUGGUUAGUGAACUAAAAACUGCUUGAGUAGAUAUUGGUAUAUUUUGUCGGACUAACCCCUGCAGGAAAACUUUCAAUAUCAACCUGGGAAGUCCUGAGAUAAACUCACAUUGGAGACAAGGAGAGAGACACAUGAAGUUUAACAAUUUACACAAAGAAGACGUAGCUCAUAUGAGAUGAUCCAUGGAGGGUACCACAAACACAAUGCACAAUCGCUAAGAAAGAGAAGCUUUCACAAGGUACACUUCGAGCAAAAUAUGGAGGAGUUUUACAACUCCCAGACUCCACCAAGUGAAGAACCUAGAUCUACGAGCACAAACACACUGAGCAAGAUACUGCCAACGCCGCACUUUGAACUGCUGGGCAAACGAAGAACAUGGGUGACACCGUAUCAAGAGGAGCAGACAUCAAGAUCCACACCUGAAUCAAAUGACGCACCUAAAGAAUGAACACGGUGAGAAGUCUUGUUCAGAAGACAUAAAACAUUGAACCCUCGCCGAGAGGUAAAAUCGGUAGUUACCCAUAUUUAUCAUUUCUGCAUUCCCUUUUCCCUUAAAUUAUUUACUUUCCUUAAAUGGCUCGUUAGUUAAUCAUGUUAUCUUGAAAAGAAAAUAAAAAUGUUAAAAAUAGUAAGCCCCAUGUGAGUAUGCUCGUGGUAUAAAACCCAUAAGUACAUUCACUGUGGUGGCGUAAAAAUAAAAUAAAUAUAUUCCUGUCCUAUAGAAAUGAAAAUAUAAAAAUAAAUUUAUGAUCCUACCAAAGAGAGUAAUAUUUAUUAGAGGAAGCUCAACAUGAUAAAGGCAAAGAGAUUUUAUGCUAACACUUAACUAGUUCCACAAAGCUUUGUUGUCUAGUUGAGCUCCAUAGAAUUCAAGGAUCAAAGAAGACUAGGAGACGGAGGACAUCCUAAUCGCUGUCAGGGUGCUGCCGACAUUCAAAUACACCUCUGCCACCUGCUAGCUACAUCAGAAUAAAUUACGUCAAAAUCCAGCUUGGGGGAGAGCACUCCCAUUUAUCCAGCUAAGUGUUUCUACUCGCGUUUAUACUUUACUCAAAUAAUAAAAAGAUGCAUAAUCAUAAAAACCCAAAUAAAGAUUUUAUGCUUAUAUAUAUAUAUAUAUAUAUAUGCUUAGUUUGCUAAAUAAAUAAAUAAAUAAAGUUUGCUAUGAACCCUCAUGAUAAGCUCUCACAUGGAAAUGAUGAAUAGUUGCUCUGCCACGACUAGUUCUCAAAAUUGAAUUCUCUCUCAAGUUUAGGCAUGAUUGUUAUGAAUUAAGAUUUGCUCUAAACCUAAACUUGUGGGAAGAGUACUUGAUCUAAAGUCUAAGUCGUUAACGGAUAUGAUAUGGGAAGGUUGAGCUGCUGUUUAUCUGUUUCUAGAGAUCAUAGAAUUCUGGAGAAUUUUUAUCUUUGAAAAUCUUUAAAAUGUUGCAUGAUGAGUUCCUGUAUGAUGAGAGUUUAAAAUCCUACCACAACCACAUAUACAUGCUUAUUAGAUUAUGAACUGUACAUUUACUUUUUACUACUUAUGAGCAUUGAGUGUGGUCAAGUUAUGUAGACCCUUAGGAACUUGUCAUGCGGUUAAAAUCAAGAUUCACUUGCACGUUCACUCAUACAUGCUACUUCUACUCUGGAAGUACGCAUCCACAUACAUCCACUCAUUUCCAUCUCCAGAUUCACCUAAAAUGAUUCUACUCCUAUCCGGGAGAGAAUAGCCAAAAAGAUUAUCCUAUCCCUAUUAUUCCCCGUGAAAUAAAUGCUCGAGAUAUUUUGGUUACUACCACUUGCUACAUUAUUCUAGGAGGGUGAGUGCUCUGAAAAGAAAAACGAGGAAAUAAAAAGGGGCAAGUGCCCGGAACCUCGAAGAAAAUAAAAAGUGAGACGAGAGGUAAAAGUGGACAAGUGUCCGACAGUAGAAUUAGGGGUACAAGAUACCCACCUGAGAGAAAAUAAAAAGAAAAUAGAGAGCAUCUCAUUCUCCUCAAAAAGCUUCAAAGUGCAAGAAAGGUAUGUAUCCGCUCAAAAGAGCAAACGUAGAAUUAGACUUUCACCAUUGUUUUCAUCAUUAUCACCAUCAUCACCCUACACCAUUCAUUCACCACACAUGCACAUCUUGAUUUGACUUAUUGACUUGUUUCUCUGGAUCCAUGGUUUGACUAUGCAAUAAAUGUCUUGUAAGUAUGUAUUAUUUGUCUCCCACCUAUGAGCUCCAGAUAUCAAAACCUUAUUAGAGUAGGGUGAGAGAGACGGCAAUAUCACUAUGCCUCAUACCAAAAAUACCACAUACUUUGAGAGAAGGCAUAUACCAUUACUGCCUUGGAAAGGAUCUAGAAAUACCACAAAAGAGAGAUUUGAGAGAGUCAUACAAGGAAUCUCCAAGUUUUAUUUGAAAAUCUGCAAAACUCCAGAGCUAUAGCUUAUCAAGAAUACGAGACAUGGCGCUUGACUUGACCGUUCUAUCUUUUAACUGCUCGAGACACAAGUGACGGUUGCAAGCCCCAUGGUGAAAGGUAAAAUGAGUAAGUUUUAAGUCUUAACAGUUUACUUUAACUCAGAGAUGAGAUCUUGCUUGAACGCAUGUGUACUUUUAAGGCAUGAAACCACCGUAGAAACUCUUGAGUCCAUCCUUGCUCAGGGACGAGCAAGAGGUAAGCUUGGGGGAGUUGUUGACGGUCCUUAAGUACCAAAUAUAAUCAUCAAAUAAAUAACAAAAAUGAUCCAAAUACAACCAACACCCAAACUUAGGGUUUUAUCUGACAGAAUUCCACGAGUUUUGCUGUUUGUCUAUUUCUGCAGGGGGUUAUCAGGAAAUAUGGAGGAAAGGCCCACAUGUCGGGUUUACAUAGAGAUAUUAACGUGCCGCGCAAUUUUCUAUCAUCGAGAAGACUCCAGAAGCCACGGGAACGAACGGGAAGGCGAUCGGGCCCGGGGGCAGGGCACCCGCCCUCCCCCCUAGGGCGCCCGCCCUGAGUUAGAGUCCAAUCACGACCCGUUUCACGGAUUACGCUCCACCGACCUAAAGGAUCAAGGAUAACCGUUCAAUCAAUGUCGGUUUGAUCCGACGGCCUAGAUUCACUUGAGGGGACUAUAAAAGCAGACCCCCUGGCCCUGGAGGAGAACAAGUUCAUUGUAGAGUUGAGAGGUGCCCUCGAAGGAUAACUUUUCCUCUACAUAGACAGAGCAAAAGCUAGGGUUUGGAGAUGAGAGCUCUCCUCUCAUCUCUAAACUAGAGUAGAUCUAGAUAGUAGCGAGAUGGAGAGGGAGGGAGCAUUGGAGGAGAGGCCGGCCUGUCGGUUCUUCCUCCGGUUGUACUUUUCCAUGAUCAAGCUCUAAUCAAGCUUGCUCAUGGGAUGACUCUGGUAAUCUACUUCUAUUUCAUUAUGCAAUUACUAUUCAUGUAUGUUCUGGUUCACAACUCUUUUGAGUACUUUUAAUCUAUAGGACCCUAUAGGCUAGAGUUGUAGUAUAGGUGUAAGCGUGGUGCUUAGACCUAGAUUACUUGUCGAUAUCCCCUGUCUAGCUAGAUCGUGUGGUAGGCCGCGUAGGUGAGAGUUACGUUGGUCCCCUGUAGUCCACCUCCUGUUAGCAGGACGGGUAGGGUUUAUCGGCCUAUGGAUAAGCAUCCUUUGUGGUGUAUUCUUAUCACGUGGUUCGUCCCAGACAUAGACAUACCCCUUUGAAGUAGAGAAACCAUAGUUAUCCUCUCUAUUCUCCUACCAUCGCCCAUAUAUAGAUUGCUCUACUCUCUAUUCCCAUAUUAUCACCCAUUGUUAUCUUACCUUUAAUAUUAUCCUUAUACAAUUCUACCGUCUUUCCUAUUUACACUUACCCAACUAUCUAGGUUAAGUUAGAGUGUAGAUCAGUUCUCCCGUUUCCCUGUGGAUACGAUAAAACCUUUAACCGGGUAAAAGCUACAACGGUAUCCGUGCGCUUGCGGAUUUAUCUGUGUGCGUAUAAAUACUAUAGUACACUCUAGUGCCAUGCUGGGGAUGACAACCUAGUAUUCAAGUGGUGUUAGCAAGUGUCAACAGAUAUAAGUCAUCCAAGAAGAAGGCACUUGCAAGCAUUGCUAUCAACAAGCCAUCACUCUUCAACACUCCUUCAUGCUUCAUGCCAAGGGCCACAAGGUACAAUAUGAUGAGAGUGAAAGUGAAAGUGAACAUGAACAUGAUAGUGAUAGUGAUGAUGAAAAUGAAUUCACUAAUGAACAACUCAUGGACAUGUUAGAACAAGCCAAUUCUCUCAUUCAAUCUAAAAACAUGAAAUGCAAAGAAUUGGCCAAGAAGUUAAAAGCUCUUGAGCAAUCCUUUGAUGAGCUCAAUGCUAAUCAUGAGAGGCUAGUGGAAGCCCAUGAAAAGAUUGGCAAGGCUCACACCAAGCUUGAGAAAGCUCACUCCUUGUUGUUAGAAGAGAACAAGGAAAAGGUUGUUGUAUCAUGUGAUGUGGGCACAACAUGUGACUUAAUUAAAGAAUCACCCAACCUACCUAUUGUUGUUGCCACUAACUCUUCUUGUAGGUCUUCAUCCACCACCACCAACUCUACCUCCACUUCUAGUGUUAGUGUCACUUGUGAUGCUUCACUAAAAGUUGAGAAUGAGACUCUCAAGAGAGAGGUGGAUGAGCUCACUCACGCCCUAGGCAAGGCCUAUGGUGGUGAGGCCCGCUUGCUAAAGUGCUUGGGUAGCCAAAGGUUUUCUCUCAAUAAAGAGGGAUUAGGCUACACCCCCAAGAAAGGCAAGGUGGCCUUUGCAACUCACAAGCCUAUCUUUGUGAAGAGCAAUGGUCGUUAUUGCAAUAAAUGCAAGCAAGUUGGGCACCUAGAGCUUAAUUGCAACAAAAUGAACAAGAACAAGAAAAUUGCUAAUGUGCCUUACAUUCCUUUUGAUUCUUGUUAUGUGCUUACCAAGGGUGAGAAGGGUGUGCAUGCUAAGUUUGUUGGUACACCAAUUGUGGGUCCAAAGAAGAAGGCUAUUUGGGUACCAAAGAGCUUAGUCACUAACCUCCAAGGACCCAAACAAGUAUGGGUACCUAAAAACAUUGAUUUGUUUUGUAGGUAAACUAUAAAGCCAGAGGAAGGCAUUGGGUGCUUGAUAGUGGGUGCACACAACACAUGACCGAGGGUGUGAUCACAUUUAGGAUAGAUAGCCGUACUAUAAAGAGGGGAAUUCUUUGGUUAAGCGGUUAUCAAGUGCCACUAGGUGUCAUUAUUCUUGUGCAUGCAUUUAGAACCUAGUGAGCUAACUUAACUCCUUGGAAGAAAAUGUUUGUGAAAAAUGCUAACACAUGUGCUGGUGAUUCAAGAAUGUUCAAUUCAAUCAAUCCAAAUGAUGACAAUGGUGUUGAUAGUAUCACUUUUGGUGACGAUGGCAAAGGCAAGGUCAAAGGGCUUGGUAAAAUUGCUAUAUCCAAUGACUUGAACAUUUCCAAUGUGCUACUAGUAGAGAGCUUGAUCUUCAACUUACUAUGUGUAGCUCAACUUUGUGAUCUUGGUUUCAAAUGCAUAUUUGGAGUUGAUGAUGUAGAGAUCAUAAGUGUAGAUGGCUCUAACUUGAUAUUCAAAGGCUUUAGAUAUGAGAAUCUAUACUUGGUUGAUUUCAAUGCUAGUGAUCCUCAAUUAUCAACAUGUUUGCUCACUAAAUCUAGCAUGGGUUGGUUAUGGCAUAGAAGGCUUGGUCAUGUUGGAAUGAAACAAUUAAACAAGUUAGUCAAGCAUGAUCUUGUUAGAGACUUGAAAGAUGUCACAUUUGAGAAAGACAAGCUUUGUAGUGCAUGUCAAGCCAGAAAACAAGUUGGCAACACUCAUCCAAAGAAGAGCAUCAUGAGUACGUGCAAGGCAUUUGAGUUGUUGCACAUGGACUUAUUUGGACCAACCACAUACACAAGUAUUGGUGGAAACAAAUAUGGAUUUGUGAUAGUCGAUGAUUUCACAAGAUACACAUGCGUAUUCUUUCUUAGUGAUAAGAGUGAUGCUUUUGCAACCUUCAAACCAUUUGUCAAGAGAAUACACAAUGAGUUUGAAACAACCAUCAAGAAAGUGAGAAGUGACAAUGGAAGUGAAUUCAAGAACAAAAGAGUUGAUGAGCUUUGUGAUGAAUUUGGCAUUAGGCAUCAAUUCUCAGCCAAGUACACUCCACAAUCAAAUGGUCUUGUUGAGAGGAAGAAUAGAACCUUGAUUGACAUGGCAAGAUCAAUGUUGAGUGAAUACAAUGUGAGUCAUUCUUUUUGGGCCGAAGCAAUCAACAUGGCUUGCUACUAUAGCAACCGACUCUAUUGUCACCCAACGAUGGAGAAGACACCAUAUGAGCUCUUGAAUGGAAGAAAGCCCAACAUUGCAUACUUUUGGGUUUUUUGGAAGAAAGGCACUAGAUUGCGCAAAUUUGAAAAGAAAUGUGAUGAAGGUUUCUUGCUUGGUUACUCCACUACUAGCAAAGCCUAUAGAGUUUGGAAUUUGGCUAGUGGUACUCUUGAAGAGUUGCAUGAUGUUGAGUUUGAUGAAACUAAUGGCUCUCAAGAGGAAAAUGAGAAUCAAGUUGAUGUGAGAGGCACUCAAUUGGCCGAUGCAAUGAAGAAUAUGGAUAUUGGUGAUUUAAGGCCUAGAGAGGUGAUUGAUGUUGAAGAUGACAAAUAUCAAGUGUUUCCUACCUCCAAUGUGCAAGGUAGUGGUUCUCAUGAUCAAAAUCAAGCUAGUACAAGUGGUACACAUGUGCAAGAUCAACAAGCUAGUACAUCAUCUCAUGAUCAACCAAGUGCAAGAAAUCAAGUGCAAAUACUCCAACCAACAAACAUUGCAAGAGAUUAUCCAUUGGAUCAUAUUAUUGUUGACAUUCAAAGAGGAGUGCAAACUAGAUCAAGAUUAGCAUCAUUUUGUGAGCAUUUCUCCUUUGUGUCUCACAUUGAGCCAAAGAAGAUUGAUGAAGCAUUGAGAGAUGUUGAUUGGGUUAAUGCUAUGCAUGAAGAGCUUAACAACUUCAAGAGAAAUCAAGUAUGGGAAUUAGUUGAGAUGCCUAGUGAUCAUAAUGUCACUGGUACUAGAUGAGUCUUUCGCAACAAGCAAGAUCAAGAUGGGAUAGUUGUAAGGAACAAAGCAAGAUUGGUAGCACAAGGCUAUACUCAAGUUGAAGGUCUUGACUUUGGUGAAACAUAUGCCCCGGUUGCUAGAUUGGAAGCAAUUAGGAUCUCGUUGGCCUAUGCUUGUGCACAUAACAUCAAGUUAUAUCAAAUGGAUGUGAAAAGUGCAUUUCUCAAUGGCUAUAUCAUUGAAGAAGUAUAUGUUGAGCAACCUCCCGGUUUUGAAGAUGACAAGAAACCCAACCAUGUCUACAAGCUAAGAAAGGCAUUGUAUGGUUUGAAGCAAGCACCAAGAGCAUGGUACGAGAGAUUGAGAGAUUUCUUACUCUCUAAAGGUUUCAAGAUGGGCAAGGUUGACACCACUCUCUUCACCAACAAGAUUGGCAAAGACUUGUUUGUGUUGCAAAUAUAUGUUGAUGAUAUCAUAUUUGGAUUAACCAACCAAGAAUUUUGUGAGGAGUUUGGAAUCAUGAUGGCUAAUGAGUUUGAGAUGUCAAUGAUUGGAGAGCUUAGUUACUUCCUUGGUCUUCAAAUCAAGCAAUUAAAGAAUGGCACAUUUGUGAGUCAAGGCAAGUACAUAAAAGACAUGCUCAAGAAGUUUGGAAUGGAUGAUUCAAAGUCAAUUAGCACUCCAAUGGGAACAAAUGGAAGCCUAGAUAGUUAUACAAGUGGAAAUAUGGUGGAUCAAAAGUUAUAUCGGUCUAUGAUAGGAAGACUACUCUAUGUGACCGCAUCAAGACCGAAUGUCAUGUUUAGUGUAUGCAUGUGUGCAAGAUUUCAAGCCUCACCAAGAGAAAGUCAUUUGAAAGCAACAAAGAGAAUAUUGAGGUACUUGAAGCAUACACAAAAUCUUGGUUUGUGGUAUCCCAAAGGUGCAAAGUUUGAACUUGUUGGAUAUUCCAAAUCGGACUAUGUGGGAUGCAAAGUUGAAAGAAGAAGCACAUUGGGCACAUGUCAACUAUUGGGUAGAUCACCUGUAUCAUGGUCAUCCAAGAAGCAAAAUAGUGUUGCACUAUCAACCGUCGAAGCGGAGUACAUUGCGGCCGGUAGUUGUUGUGCACAAAUUCUAUGGAUGAAGGCAACUUUGAAGGACUUUGGAAUCAACUUCAAGCAAGUGCCAUUGCUAUGUGACAAUGAAAGUGCUGUGAAGCUCACCAACAAUCCGGUUCAACACUCAAGAACAAAGCACAUAUAUGUCCGCCAUCACUUCAUAAGAGAUCACCAACAAAAAGGGGACAUUUGCAUUGAGAGUAUAGGCACCGAUGAUGAACUUGCCAAUAUAUUCACCAAGCCACUUGAUGAGAAGAGGUUUUGCAUGCUAAGGAAUGAAUUGAACAUACUUGACUUCUCAAAUAUGUGUUGAUGCAGCCCCACUAUAUGGCAUGCCUCUCCUUCAAGCAAAGCAAUGUAAAAUUGUUUGACAUGUCAUUCAUCCUAUGCAAAGUACUUGUUUAGUGCAUCUAGUCAUUCCUUACAUGUCUUAGGCUCAUUCGUGAAAAUAAAUUGAAUUUGAUGCUUAUAUGGUACCACUAUUGCUUCUAUGAUUGACUUGAUCUAGUGGUAGCAUAUGACAUUUUUUGGGCUUGCAAUCCUAGUGUUUGAUCUAGAAUAUGAGCUAUAAGUGUUUAACUCAACAUGGUACAAGAUAACCCUUAUUUGGAGGUGUGAAGAAGCUUGUCCUUGGAUCAAACCAAGUUAAAUAUCUUAGGCAACUAAUCUAGAUUGGACCAAUUUGGUAAAAUGAUCUCACUUCACAUGGUCUCACACUAACCUAUCUAAAAUUUGAGCUCACCUUUGUGGUCUUUGAUGACAAAGGGGGAGAGAAUUUCCCAAAGAUUUACUUAAGAGGGAGAGUAACUACAAAAGAAAUACAAAGAUAGGGAGUAACAUAAAAAAAGAAUUUCCCAAAGAUUUACUUAAGAAGGAGAGUAAUUACAAAAUAAAUACAAAGAUAGGGAGUAACAUAACAAAAGAAGGGGAUCAAUUAAAAUUUUGAAGCACACAAGUAGUGGGAGCAAGCUCAUAAACUUGUUUGUUUCAUUUGAAUGUGCAUCACAUAUGUUUGCUUGCAUUUGCAUUAGCUUUAGAAAGCUUUCUCUCUGAUAUCUUGCUUGUGUGGUGUAUGCUAGUUGUAGGCUUGAUCGUUGAAAUGAAGAACCAGCAUGCAUAGGUAGUGUAACCAGACUUUUAAUUGUUUCACAAGUGAUACUAGAACCGUGUUUAUAAUGUUGAUCUCACGGGGUGUUCUAGUUUUGUGAAUGUCUAGUUACUAAUGGUGCUAAGGAUGGUAUACAUUGGCAACUCCGAUUGGUAUCACGCUUCAAAGGUCCAUUCUUUACACCUUAGCAUCAUUUGGUAAAAAUUGACUCCUAUAUUUCCUACUCAAGCAUAUGUGCAAGCUUUCAAAUGCAAACUCUUAGCACGUAUGUAGGGGGAGCAAUUGCUACCAAUUUGGGUUUAUGAAACUUGUCCAUAACCUUUGCACAUGGUAAAAUGCUUGGGCAAGCAACAUGAAUCCAAGAAAAUUUUAUUGAAAAUCUUUGUAAAAAGUGUUGUCACCAAUUACCAAAAAGGGAGAGAUUGAAAGCCCCAGUUUGGUUUUGGAUAAUUGAUGAAACCCUAGUACUAAAAAGGGGGAGACUAAAUCAUAUCUGUUUAUUUCUUCAAAAACAUGGCAUGUUUAAUAUUUUUAUUAAAAACUAGACUAACUCAAGAGUGUGAUAAAAUUGGAAUCACUCCAUUUGGAUCUGUCUAACUCAAGUUAUGAAUUUUCCAAAACAGCAUGGAAUCUGUCCAAAAACAAAAAUAGGGCGAGAGAGGGACAGUGACUGAUAGAGGGACCCACUGGUCAGCGGGACCCGCUUGACAGUGACACAGAGACAGGGGAGAGCUCGUCGCCGGUGAAACUCGACGACGGUGAGGUCUCGGCCGAAUCCAAGGGCACAGUCGUGACCCUCUCACCAAGGUGGUCCUACCGAGGUACGAUACCCUCACUCUACCAAGCUCUAGGGGGCUCGUCGGCGUGAAUGGUGAAAGCCCUAGUUUGGUUUUGGAUAAUUGAUGAAACCCUAGUACUAACCUCCAUACUAAGUGUGUGUAGACUUAAUGAGGUUGGUACAUGCCAAGUCAUGGAGCAAGUGAUGAUCAUGGUAAUGAUGGUGAUGACCACAACGUGAUCAAGUGCUCAACUUGAAAAGAAGAAAGAGAAAAACAAAACCCUAUGGAGUUCAAGGCAAAAGUAUUUCUUAGGGUUUUGAUUUUGGUGAUCAAGACACCACAGAGUGUGUGAUCACAUUUAGGAUAGAUAGCCGUACUAUAAAGAGGGGAAUUCUUUGGCUAAGCGGUUAUCAAAUGCCACUAGGUGUCAUUGUUCAUGUGCAUGCAUUUAGAACCUAGUGAGCUAACUUAACUCCUUCGAAGAAAAUGUUUGUGAAAAUGCUAAAACAUGUGCACAUGUUGGUUUACACAUUGUGGUGUUGGCACACUUUGAGAAGGAGGUGGAGUUUGAUGGGUAGAGAGAGGAUGGGUUUCUCUCUCCCAUUCAGUGCUUUUUGAGAAAAAGAAGUGCAUAUUUUUCUAUUGCGCCGGUGGGAAGUUUGGAGAAGUCUCGGGAGUGUGCCUUGCUGAGAAACACUCACCAGACGCUGGCCACUGAGGCACCGGACAUUGUGUCUGUGCGUCCGGUGUAGUCAGUGCCUGGCUCAGCUAGGGUAAGGCACCAGACGCCAAACACCGGAUGUAGGCUUGUCCCUACUUGUGCGUCGGGUGGUACGAGUCCAGUUUGCGGUCCGUUUGCAAUCCUCCCUGCGUAUGAGUCCGGUGAGCACCAGACGGUGCGGUGCUCAGCGUCCUGUGAUCCUGCGCAUUUGUGGACCUCUCUGUGUUUAAGUCUGGUGAGUACCGGACACGUCCGGUGGCAACUUAACCACGUCCGGUGCUUUGCAGGUUACCAUUAGACUCUGACGCUUGAGUUUAAAAAGGUGACACUUGGCCGUUUCUGGAGCAUCGGACGCAGGGGUUGACCAUCCGGUGCCUCCUGCGUAGCGUCCGGUGACCCCGUAUUUCGCUCAGUGAAAGAGCCAACGGCUCUAUUUGUUUGAGGGGUCUAUAAAUACGUGUUAGACGACUUAGGCCUUAUACUUUUGGCAUUCUAGUAUACUUGACAUCCUUGUAAGCCUAAGCAAACACCUCCCACUCAUCUUCUUCAUAGAUUAUUCAUCUUUGUGAGAUUGGGAGUGAUUCCAAGUGCAUUUGCUUGAGUGAUUGCAUCUAGUGGCACUUGGGGAUCGUUCUAGCUGCGGUUUUCUUGUUACUCUUGGUGGUUGCCGCCACCUAGAUGGCUUGGAGCAGCGGAGGAGCAUUGGCACGAGUUGGUGAUUGUUUGUAGCCAUCUCCCUUGAUUGUGAGUGGUCUUGUACCUUCCUCGGUGGAGAGCCGAAAGGUAACUCUAGUGGAUUGCUCGUGUCAUUGAGUUACCUCACUUGUGGGUCGGUUCUUGUGGUGUCCUAGUGAGGAGAAGAUUCGUGCUACACCUCUUAGCCGCCGAACCAUCAAGUUUUGGUCGACACAACGGGGACGUAGCGUGCCGGCAAGCACGUGAACCUCGGGAGAAAAAUUGUUUGUCUCAAUUGUGAUUGGACUUCUCCGAGUGAUUGGACUUCAUAUUAUUGAUUGGUUCAUCCCCUCUACGCGGCGGUAUAAAGAUCAAACCAUCUCUCUUACAUUAACUCAAACUAGAGUAGCUUACUUACUUGUAUAGAAAUUUUAGAUAGCUCUAUAGUGUAAGUAGUGACAUAGCUCUUGUGUGCCUAGUGAUCAUAUCAACUAGAAUUGUUGGAUAGGUGGCUUGCAAACACCCCAUUAGAAAUAGAGCAAAAAGCUACACUUUGUUAUUUACUAACCACUUGCUCUAGUGAGUUUUGUAGAAUUUUUAAAUAGGCUAUUCACCCCCCUCUAGCCAUAUUUGGACCAUUCAAAUGGCGGCUCGGUGGCGCUACGGGCGGUACGCCGGCAUGCUCAGCCGAUGCCUGUAACAACCCAGUGUUAUGGUUACAUUCUUUCACAUGCAUAACAUGAGCAUCAUCAUCUUCAUAAGCAUACCAUGAUCAUCAUUCACCUUGGGUCAUCUCAUUUUAUGCAUAAGUGUGGUUUAACUUGCUUAAUUAUGCCUUCUAUGCUUAUACUUGUUUGUACCAUGCUCUUGUUUGUGUUCUAUGCCUUGGUAAAUAGUUCAUCUAUGCUUAACUCAACAUUUGGAACAAUGUUCAUGUUGGUCACAUCACCAAAUUAAGUAUCUAAGUCAUACUUUCACUCAUAGGCCCUGAAAACCUCUUUUGCUUAGGCUUUUAAAAAAAUGGUUCAUAAAAUGUUUGCAUGUCAAAACUUCCUAAAGAAAAGUUGUAGCAAAUUUUAUAAGGAAUAAAAAUUGUUUGAUGGCCAUCUCAUGAAAAUGAUCACAACUUGCUCAAAAAGUGCUUACAAGGCAGAUUUGGGGGCUGUUUUGACACUUACCAAAAUUUUGCUAAGUCCUGGCGCCACUAGUUUGCCCGAUCGAUUUUGGGAGCUUCAUAUCUUUUCAUCCAUGCCGAAUUGGUCUUUGCUCCAGUUCACAAACUUGUAGAACUCGAUUAGUACUUCAAGAAUGUCAAGUACACUAUCUCCUAAUUUGCCACGGUUUGGAAGUUAAUCAGCGCCAAAGUAGCUCUGUCCGACAGCAAUGCGAACUCUGAAUGGACAUCGUCCCCAUCGACGUGGCCGACCGGCGGCAGCGUUUUGGCGACAUUUGGCGUCUGUACGCUGUCUCUGGCCCUGCUCAUCAGCGCUGAAGGCGUGCAUGACCUCCACGGCAUCGCCCUCGAGCGCCUAGAUGCGUCCAUUAUCUCCCUCUCGCCUCUCUCGCGCAGAAAACUCCGCUGCAGCGGAGGCGCCGUCGCGAGCUCACUCCGGCGAGCUCGAGCGCGCUUCACACUGCAUCGCUGACCACCAAAGCUCACUCACAGCUCUGCCGUGCUCUGCUCUCCAACUUCCACCCUCAAGCUCGCCGUGAAACCCUCCGAUGAGCCGACAUUUCCACUCUUCCCCAAAUCGGUCGCCGGAACAGUUUUCUCCGGCAAGCCCAAUGCUGAGCUCCUCGGAGUCUCUCGUCCUCUUUGGUUGGGUUCUCGGGGUAGCUUAGGACCUUAGCUAGCGUCUGCGCCACUUGGGGGACACUCUACCACGCUCACUGUUGCCGGACACGACGCGCAGCGCCACCGUGUUUCCGCCGGAGCUCGGUCCUCUCGUGGCCAGCCCUCUCCACACUGUUUCAAGCCAAGUCACUUAUCUAGAAAGGUUCGCCAUAGUUCACUGGUGCUGAAGGAAACACUAGGGCACGCUCUACUGGCCUGAGAGCUCCGGCGUAUCGCCGAGCACCACCGCCGAGCCGCCAUGGUCGACGGCGAGCCCCUUCUGGUGGCUCCGCUGUGGGGAAAAGGGGGUCAAUCGGUUUGCAAGUGAGUUGGGAUCACGUUGGUGUCCUCGGUUUGGCCGGAGACCUCGCCGUCACAGAGAAAUCGCCGGUGAACGUUGUCUCGGUCAAGAGGAAGAAGAACCUGACACGCAGGUCCCACUGUCAGUGACUCAAUGGCUCCCUCUUCUCUUUUAUUUAAAUUCCUGAUUUCUUGUGAUCUUGCAAAAAUCAUAUCUCUAGUUUCUGAGCUCCAAAAGUUGUGAAACAAAUUUUGUGAUGAUCCAUGGGAUGGCUAGUUUUUAAUAAAAAUAUAAUAUGCACCAUGUUUUCUGUAAAAAAUAAUUGUUAUGAAUUAAUCUUGUUAAUUAUGUGUAAAUGCACAUCUCUUGAUCUACUACUCCAAAUACUUUGAAAUUUUUAUGCUUUGCUCUGGUUAGUAUUAGAAUGCUCUGAUGAAUAUUUCAUGAUUUUUGGAGUGUUGUAUCUCUGAUAUGUAAUUUAUGUUAAGACUAUAGCCUAAUUUCAUGUUUAAGUCAUAUUAAAUGUUAUAUACUUAUGCUGGUGUUCUCCUUUGGUGUCAAGCUUGUUCAUAGUAGUAGUAACAUGUAAAUAAUCUGAAAUCUGUUGUUUGACACUAUCUAAGCCAUGUUUCUUAAUUUAUGAAAUAAGCACCUUGUUAGAUGUUAAUUAAUUAUCUUAAGAUUGACAUGUGCAAUUGCUCUGAAAAUUUUAUGGUAAUGUCCAGGUGCCAUGCUUGUGCUUCUGUAAGUUUUGUAAAUUUUUCUAAGCACUCUUGCUGGUAUCUUGUAAUUAUGUCCUUUUAUGGAAUUAAAUUAAUAAAUGCUUUGUUGUUAAGUGUUUAGUAGUCAACAUGUGGUUUUCUGACUUGUGCUUAUGAGCCACUUGGUUGGUAUUAAAUAUGUUUUUGCUAUGUCAUCAAAUAAUUAAUUAAAGGCGAUAAAGCUGUUCUGGACAGCAAGGGAGUAAUCUGUUUGUUGUGUAAUGAUAACCUCACUUUCUGAAGGACUUGUCUAUAGCAAAGAUGUUGUAAACUUUGGAUGCUAGCUGCAGUUUAAAUUUGGGAUCAAUUGGUCCAGUAGUUUAAAAGUUAUGGCUCUUCCAAGUUGAGUUCCAGAACUAGGUGUUCUCUGUUUUUCUAGAACAGAACCUGGAACUUUGUUUAAUUGACCUGUUUAACUUAUGAAUCCUGCUCUGAGGUCUAACGAUGAAAUGAAAACAAUUUCUUAAGCUUUCUAGAAUGUCCUCAUUCAUGUUUGUUGGAUCUGUAUAGCAUUAGUUAUGAAUUGUUCUUUGAGCUGCUCUGUUAUUUAGUUGUUGCUGUUUAAUGGUUUAAGCUGGUGCGUUCUUGUUAGUUGAGGUGAUACUCUUUUGUGAGCUUAUAAUAGAAGCUUACUCCGUAAAUGAGUGUCUAGUGAAGUUUAUAAUCAUGCCUCCAAGCAUUCAUCCUCAUCUAGUGUGCACACAUUCCUUACAUAUCGUGCAUGCAAUAGGUGCAUCGGAAGUGGCAGCAUCGUUCGAGCUCGAGAGGGUGAGUCCCGAAGGCCCGGAGGUCACCCAGGAGGUGGAGGCCCAGCCAGUAGGACAAGAGGAGCCCAAAGAGGAGGUCGAGUGCCCUAGUCACGAGCCCGCUUCGUUCGUGAAAGGCAAGCCCCGGAGCAUCUUAAGUCUCCCACUUUAAUUUCAAAGUAUACUUGAAUAUGUUAUAUCUAUUGAUGCAUUAGGUAUUGGAGUUGUGAUGAAACCCUUGCUGUAUUAUACCUUUCCUUGCCCAGAUAUCUUAUCACUACCUGGUUGUAGAGUUAGGAUCGAGUAGCAGCUUAGCCAUGCUUUAAUCGUAGAAGUCGGGUGAUAUCCUGUCACCUGCGCGAAAUAGGGUUGUUGUUGGAUCACGAUUAACUGUAUGUGCUAUCAUGAGAAAGAACCUGGUUUAAAAUGACUUAAGCCAGGCGGAGUUUUGCAAGGUGGUAGUAACUCCAUCUAUGGCAGCUAAGGACCGAUCGUUGUACGUCCUCUUGUCAUGUUGAACACAUGCUUGACACUUAGUUUGCCAGAUAACUCGUUCCGACUGUGAAGCCUAGUAAUAUAACUCAGGCCGGAAGACCAUCAAUUAUAAAGUGCGCACUACCAGAGGAAGUGUGGUGUGCGGGGGGCCAUUGGUGUAAGACCAAAGGCAGGUGAGUUAAAAGUCCUGACCUCUCUGGCAGAGUGGCAGCCCUGGGAGUGCGGCGCUGAUCGGAGCCAUGAUUCCUGAGUCGUACCAAAGGUGACCCGCUUGCUCUCCGACGGGGGAUGCAUGGGUGAGUGCUAAGAAUAAAGCUCCAGCUAGAUAGGAAUCGAUUCAAAUCGCCGUCUCUCCCGGAUAGUGAGAACUUGAUAGAGCAGCAGCAAACAUAGCAUUCACUAAGUAUUAUGGUUCUUAAUGAUGAUGUUGAGGAUAGCAAGAAGGAACAUAUGAUGAAACUUGAUAUGGUUAUUAUUGUUUGCUAAUAAUCAAGUGAAGUGUUUAGUAUAGGUGGUAAUCAAGUGGUAGGCUAAUGAUAAUCAGUAUGAUGCUUUUACGAAUGGUUUUCUAUCCAAUCUAAGCUUUUGGCAAAGGUUUGAGUCAAGCCAGCUACACUUUAUACUCGGCCUUGCAUGAUCCUUGGUGUCUUUGAUUUUGGUUAGACGGGUAAGUCUAGCUAAGUACAUCCUCGUACUCAAGGUUUAUUCCCACCUGUUGCAGAUGAUGUCUUUUAUGAUGGCUUCUACAAGACCUGUCUCCAUCUAGCUGGGGACGAGGACUAAACCGUUGGGCGCGGUUCUCUAACAACUUCAUACCCUGAUGCUUUUGGUGGAUGAGAUGAGACUCUAGCAGUAACAAGAACUAAUGAAAUGCAUGUGUAUAAAAUAUUUUGCUUCCGCUACUUCGAACUUGUGUUGUAAUAACUAAGUACUCCGAUGUGGUGCCGCUUCGUCGGCGAUGAAUGAACUAUGUAACAUUCGUUGUAUGGCAUUGGACUAUUACGAUCUUGGUAUGUUGCAAAGUUGGUUUGAAGUCCUUCGUGAUUUCGGUUGACUACCAGGAUUAUAUGGGCUCAAGUUUGGAAACUUGAUUGCUAGAUCGAUCGUUUCUACACUUGAACUCUUAUAAUUUGAUCGGUUCUGUGACAGCUGGUAUCGGAGCAAGUUCAGCAUUAAAAUGCAGUGUUAUGUAUUUAAAAACAAAAGAGUUUUUAAAUAAAUUGUGAAAAUCAAUACCUAAAGUAUGCCAGUGGUCGAAUCCUCCUUGCCCAUAUACUGACCUUAGGUGGCUAUUUAAGUACUGACUUGGGGGGUUUUAAUUAUACAUCUCCGGUAGUACUCAUGUAUGGAUGUUUGAUGACCGCACUAUGCUACCCUAUGGUCUAAUGGUAGAGGUAGCCUUCAUAUGUGAAUUAGCCACAUAUGUCGCUAGAUUUAAAUUAUGCAACGUCGCACCUACGUUCACGUAAGGGUGAGCUAUGAGAGCAUGAUCGUCCAAACGGCGGUCUAAGGAGUGUUCGCGGUGGUUUUCUAGAGUGGUUGCCUGUCAAACCAUGGAACCAAGAAAGAAACUUAAUUGGGGAGUAUUUAAUUUCUCGGGUAGAUGUGGUGUCAUUGUUUGUGCAUGUCGGAGCAUGUAUAAGCAAUGUGCAAUUAGUUUACUGCUUUCUUGAGUGAGAUAUUGGGAAUUGUUGGGCUGCAAUGAAGUUUUAUGCUGGUACUCUAAUAGCACGCGUGUAAAUCGAUAGUUACCAUAUCAAGAGACUAAUGUAUGCCACCCUAAAUCCGUUAGAAUAUUAAUUUUCUAAGUUUGUGAGGACGAACGGUUCAUGCAUGCAUCAUAUCCCAUUCAUACAUACAUUCUGUCUACUCCUUCCCUUACAAUAUCUUUCCUUUUUAAAUUAAUAAAUGUUGCUUAAAUAAUCCUCUCUCACCCACAGUUCUUCCUUUCCACAUAUGGAUGUGCCUGACUCACCUCUCCCCAGCGACACCUUUCUGAGCGAGUUUGGCACUCCUACUCUACUUUGGAGAGUCCUGUAGUCAGUGGGGUAUACUGAGCCACCUCAGUACUCCUGGUGGGAGGUGGACAUGAUAGGAGACUUGCAGUGGUUCGCUGUGUAGGAAGUUGUCCCACCACACAGGGGCAGGCCUACAUGGACAGGGUGGACCUGCAACUCAGAUGGGCAGACCCCAUGGGAAGCAACUUAGGUUGCAGCCCAUGCUAUGCUGCUCAAUAUCUGUCAGAGGUUUCGUGAUGAACUGACAGGAGGGCCAGCGGCCUCCAUUCCCCAUGCUGACCCAGCAGCAGUGGAGUCGAAGCAGGAUGAUAGUUGUGCGUUGGUCCGAGGACGAGGAGAGCGAGAUGAAAGCUCUAGUCCUGCUAUGAGCGCCAUGAUGGUUGUGCUCAAGCUGUUCAGUCAGCGAGAGGACACCUAUGCGCAGGUGAUGGUUGCUGUUCGCCAGGCUCAGGAGAUGCAACAGAAGGCUGAAAAGCGUGCUCGCAAGUUUCACAAGCAAGCUAGACUCCUGGAGCAAGCCUAGAAGGACCGCAAUGACUGGGAGGACAUUGCGGAGUAUCAUAGGCAGCAGUGGGUGAAGGCCACUAGAGAGAGAGAUCAUAAGCAGGAGUAGAUGAGUCAGUUGGCUAGGGAGAAGGAGACCAUUGUUGACGGUUCUUAAGUAUCAAUUUUAAUUAUCAAAUAAACAAGAGAAAGGACCAAUAUGCAAUCAACACCUAGAAUUAGGGUUUGAUCUGACAGAAUUCCACGAGUUUUGUUGUUUAUCUGUUUCUGCAGGGGGUUAUCAGGAAAUAAGGAAGAAAGGCCCACAUGUCAGAUUACAUAGAGAUAUCAACGCACCGCGCAAUUUUCUACCAUCUAGAAGACUCCAGAAGCCACGGGAACAAAGGGGAGGCUGAACGGGGCCUGGCCCAGGGCGCCCGCCCUCAGGACCAGGGCGCCCGCCCCCUCCUGGACUCCAAUUAGAACUCUUUUCGCGGACGACGCUCCACCGACCUAAAGGAUCAAGGAUAACUGUCCAAUCAAUGUCGGUUUGAUCCAAUGGCUCACGUUCACUUGAGGGUACUAUAAAACCAGACCCCCUGGCCCCUGGAGGAGACAAGUUCAUCCUAGAGUUGAGAGGAGCCCUCGAAGGAAUACCUCUUCUCUAAAUAAAAUUUCUUUUAGGCUUAGCAUCCAAUGUGUGUAGAAUUAGAUAUUCUAGUUUCUACUAGAUUGAGAGAUAUAGAGUGGAGGUGUAGAUCGGAGGAAGCCCGGCCUGUCGGUGUCUACUCCAAGGUUGUACCUACGGGAUCAAGUCUUCUAACCCGAGGCUUGCUCCUAGGAUUCUUCAGUACUUCGACUUCUAAAUUCUAGUAAGUUCUUGUUUUAUUGUUCUUUGGUUUAUGAGUUUACUUUAAUCUCUUCGCGUAAAGUUUAGAGUAAUCAUCUCUAGCGUAGACGUGGUGUUUGGGCUGGGAUACUCAUACAUAUUCCCUGACUAGCUAGACCAUGGUAGUAGCGAGGAACGUGACAUUUCCGAGUUACCUUUGCAAACCAUAUCUCGUUUGCAGGAAGGAUAGGGUUUAUAGGUGCGGGUUGAACAUCCUCUGUGGUGUCUAGAUUCCGUUAGCGUCCCUAAUAGAAUAGUAGAUCAUCCUUACCAAGGUUAGAAAAAGAUUACGGUUGUAGUCUUCUCUAUUUAUCAGUCACAUCGAGAAACAUUCUUUGUAGCCUGAAGGUUAGUAGUAAUAGACCGGGUUAGUCAGAUGCACUCUUUCUCCUAGUGGUAAAAAAAUAAAUACGAUACUCUGGAUAACCUCCCGGGUGAAGUGCUCACCGAUAUCCGUGCGCUUGCGGAUCAAUUCCUCAUUGUGUUCCCAAAUAUCAACAACCAUGCAGGAGCACUUGGUGCAGAUCACUCGUGAGAUGGAUACUGCACUUCGUGUGUCGGAGAAUAGGCGUCGGGCAUGGGAGAUGCACCGUAUCCAGUCGGCUGAGCGGGAGAACUAUCUGCAGGAUCAGAUUAAGUCUGGUCUUGUGGAGAUCCACCGCCUCAACAACUUGCUACACCCUAUUCCUCGCCCUGUACCAGUUUACCUAGAGGUGGGACCUCAGGUGAUCAUGGCCGAUGAUGAUGGUAUGGAGGUAGAUGGACUGGCCGCGGCUACACCACCCUUGCACGAGGACUUGAAGGACGAGGAGCUUGAGCCGGUUAGCGACGAGGACGAAGAGGCGAUCUUCGACGCUGAUUCGAACGACGAGCCUGGUGUGUAGUGGGUAGUUGGUAAUCACCCUGUGAGGUUCUUUUGUAGAGUGACCUAUGGCAGUCGUGCUUUUAUGAUCAUGUUGUAAUCCUAAACCAUGAUCUUAGACUUGUGCCUGUACUGUGGUGAUGUAAUAACUUCAUGGACCCGAUGUUUUAUGACUUUAUCAUGUUCAGACACCAGCGAUGAUGUUUUCUGUUGUUGUGUAUUUUAUGGAUAUCUAUGUCAUGUGUUGGAAUUGGUGAUGUUGUUUUGUGGAAUUGAAUUAUUGUGCCUUCUUCUGUAAAGUUAUUCCCUCGAAUACUUUCAGGCAUGAUUAUAAGUUCUUCUGCGACAGAUCUUGUCAUCAUCAAUACUCACUGACUGUGUCUUUACAGAUGUCUCGAGGCACUCGAGGUGCAGAAAAUUGUGCGAACAUGAAUCCACCCCCUCCUCCUCCACCACCGAAUCCAGCUGAGCUGAUGCAAAUGAUAGUGGAAAGUCAGAGGCUGCUCACCGAGACUAUUAAUCAGAUGGCAAACCAGUGUGGUUAGAAUGCAGAAUAGGGGCCAGCACCCAAUCAGUACAGCAGUUUCAAGGAUUUCAUGGAUAGCAAGCCCCCAUCUUUCAGAGAGGCUGAAUAACCCCUUCACGCAGAGGAAUGGCUGAACACGGUGGGACAAAAGUUCCGCUUACUUUGCCUGACUGAUAGUCUAAAGGUAGAGUAUGAAGCUCAUCAACUGCAGGGUCCAGCGGGUAUCUGGUGGAAUCAGCAUAGCGAGGCUCUUCCGGACAACACUGUGGUUGACUGGAAUCUCUUCCGUGAAGCUUUCAAGGGGCAUUUCAUACCUCAUGGGGUCAUGGAAAUGAAGCAUACUGAGUUCAUGCAGUUAACUCAGGGCAACAAAACUCUGAAGGACUAUUUGCAUGCUUUCAAUCAUCUGUCGAGGUAUGCUCCUGAGUUUGUGAGCACUGAGUCGAAGAAGAUUGCUAGCUUCAAGAGGGGUCUUGGCCCCAAGCUGCUGAAGACUAUGGGCCGCACUAAGUGUGCCACUUUCAAUGAGUUUGUCAGUGAUGCUCUUACCCAAGAGAAUUACAACACUGUGUACACUGCGACCAAGACUCGCAAGUGAGCUUUUGAGGCCGGGGCAGGGGCAUCUCAAUCCAAGGCUCCAGUGGCAGGUAGGCCCCAAUAUCGUGCUCCCACUCCUAACGCGUGAUACCGCCCUUCGGCAAAGAAGAAUCACGCGAAGACGGGGUUCCGCAAGGGGUACUCCAUUGCUCUACCUAGGGGGAACACUGGGCCCAGCUAUGCCAAGACUCCACCUGCCAACCGUCCGUGCUGGAACUGUAAUCAGACAGGGCAUUGGCAAAGCAAUUGUCCUUACCCGACAAAGAAGGGCAACCAAGGGAACGUCCAUCAGCGGCGUGUUCACUAUACAAUAGUGGAAGCUAUCCCUGCUGGUGAGGUAGUUACGGCUGGUAAGUUUGUAGUUAACCAAUGUGAUGCACUUGUGCUUUUUGAUUCAGGAGCAUCGCAUUCAUUUGUGAGUUCAGAUUUCAUGUCUAAGCAUAAUCUCAAGGCAAGUACGCUUGAUAAAUGUUGGGUAUUUUAAACGCAAACAGAAAAAUCCGCAAGCGCACGGAUACCGAUGUAGCUUUUACCUGGGAGUAUUCCAGAGUAUCGAUUUUCCACAGAGAACGUGAGUGUACUAAUUAAGAUCCAAGAUCGCCCAAGGAUAACUAUAUAAUUAUUUUUGGUGGGAAGAGAGGAAGUUUCCUGAGAGUUCUCUAGUUGAUCUAAGAAUCAAGAAUUACUUCAAGAUUAUCUAUUUCGGGACAUCAGAGCACUAACCACAAAAAGAGAUGAGAAGGGGGCUAGGAAGGUCUGACUACGGUCCUACAAACACUGAUCCGAACGAGGUGGAAUACGUCGACCGUUAGGGCUGUCACUACCCUAAGGCUACCACAACAAUCCGCAGGAUUGGGUGCAAUUCCAGGUAAUUACAAGACUAAACACCACGUCUAAUCUAUUAAUUACUACUCUAGCGUUAUAAAGACUAGACCACUUGAUGCAAGCGGGAAUCCAAUAAACAAAUUGAAUGUAAAUAAAAGUAAUUAAAGAACUCAGGAAUUGUGAAUUGAAGAACCUAGAGAACGAUGAAGAACGAACCAGUUGCUGCAAAAGUACAAUGUUGAGGAAGAUCCGACAGAUCCGGCUCCUCCUCCGCUCUCCUCUUCUCUCUCCCUAUUUCUAGAUUACAACUAGAACUAACUAGAACUAGAACUAGAGGAACUAGAACUAGAACUAGAUGAACUAGAACUAGAACUAGAUGAACUAGAGGUAGAACUAGAAGAACUAGAGGGAUCCUCUCUACUUGGAUGAAGAAUUGAAACCCUAGUUUUGAUUCUGUAGAAGAGGUAUGAUCCCUAGGGGCCAGGGGGUCUGGUUUUAUAGUCCCUUCAAGUGAAUCUGGGCCGUUGGAUCAAACCGACAUUGAUUUAACGGUUAUCCUUGAUCCUUUAGGUCGGUGGAGCAAUAUCCCGAAAGAGAGUCCUGAUUGGACUCUGGUUGAGGGCGGGCGCCCAGGAAAGGAGGGCCGGGCCCUGUCCCUGAGUCCUCGGCCUCCGCUUCCUUCCCGUGGCUUCUGGAGUCUUCUAGAUGAUAGAAAAUUGCACGGCACGUUAAUAUCUCUAUGUAAACCUGACGUGUGGGCCUUUCUUCCGUAUUUCCUGAUAACCCCCUGUAGAAAUAGACAAACACCAAAACUCGUGGAAUUCUGUCAUAUAAAACCCUAAGUCUAGGUGUUGGUUGCAUAUAAGUCCUUUUCCAUGAUUAGUUGAUAGUUGUGAAUAUUAAGGACUGUCAACAAGCUCCCCCAAGCUUAACCUUUGCUCAUCCCUGAGCAAAGAUGGACUCAAGAGUUUCUCCAGUGGUUUCAUGCCUUAAAGUCACAUAUGCAUUCAAACAAGAUCUCACCUUUGGGUUAGAGUAAACUGUUAAGAUUUAAACUUACUCAUAUUACCUUCCACCAUGGGGCUUGCAACCGUCACUUGUGUCUUUAGCAGUUAAAAGAUAGAACGGUCUAGUCAAACACCAUGUUUCUUGUUCUUCGAUUAACUAUAGCUCUCGAGUUUUUGCAGAUUUUCAAAUAAAACUCAGAGAUUCCUUGUAUGACUCUCUCUAGUCUCUCUUUUGUGGUAUUUCUAGAUCCUUACUAAUGCAGUAAUGGUGUAUGCCUUCUCUCAAAGUAUGUGGUAUUGUUGGUAUGAGGCAUAGUGGCACUGCCUUCUCUCUCACCCUACUCUAAUAAGGCUUUUGAUAUCUGGAGCUCAUAGGUGGGAGACAGCUAAUACAUACUUACAAGACAUUUAUUGUAUAGUCAAACCAUGGAUCUACAAGAACAAGUCAAUAAGUCAAAUCAAGAUUUGCAUGUGUGGCGAAUGAAUGGUGUAUGGUGAUGAUGGUGAUAACAAUGGUGAACGUCUAAUUCUAUUUGUGCUCUUUUAGGGGAUACAUACCUUUCUUGCUCUUUUGAAACUUUUUGAGGAGAAUGAGAUGCUCUAUAUUUUGUUUUUCUUUUCUCUCAGGUGGGUAUCUUGUACCCCUAAUUCUAUUGUCGGACACUUGUCCAUUUUUACCUCUCGUCUCACUUUUUUUUUCUUUUCUUUCGAGGUUCCGGGCACUUGCCCCUUUUUAUUUCCUCGUAUCUUUUUCUUUUUUUUCUCUCUUUUAUUAGAGCACUCAUCUCCUGAAAUAAUAUAGCAAGUGGUAGUAACCAAGAUAACUUGAGCAUUUAUUUCACAGGGGAAAACUGAAAUGUUUUUGGCUAUUCUCUCCCGGAUUAGGAGUAGAAUAUUUUUAAGUGAUUUUGGAGAUGGAAAUGGGUGGAUAUAUGUGGAUGCGUACUUCCGGAGUAGAAGCAGCAUGUGUGAGUGAACGUACAAGUGAAUCUUGACUUAACCACAUGACAAGCUCCUAAGGGUCUACACAGCUUGACCACACUCAAUGCUCAUAAGCAGUAAAGUAAAUGUGGCUCAAAGUUUAGCAAGCAUAUAUAUAUGGCUGUGGUAGGAAUUUAAACUCUCAUCAUACAAGAACUCAUCACGCAAUAUUUUAAAGGUUUUCAAAAAUAAAAUUCUCCAGAAUUCUAGCAUCUCUAGGAAUAGAUAAACAGCAGCUCAACCUUCCCAUAUCGUAUCCGUUAACAACUUAGACUUUAGAUCAAGUACUCUCCCCACAAGUUCAGGUUUAGAGCAAAUCUUAAUUAUUAACAGUCAUGCCUAAACUUGAGAGAGAUUUCAAUUUUGAGAACUAGUCAUGGUAGAGCAACUAUUCAUCAUUUCCAUGUGAGAGCUUAUCAUGAGGGUUCAUAGCAAACUUUAUUUAUUUAUUUAUUUAUUUAGCAAACUGAGCAAAGAUAUAUAUAUAUAUAUAAGCACAAAAUCUUUAUUUGGUUUUUUAUGAUUUUGCAUCUUUUUAUUAUUUGAGUAAAGUAUAAACACGAGUAGAAACACUUAGCUGGAAAAAUGGGAGUGCUCUCCCCCAAGCUGGAUUUUGACGGAAUUCCUUGUGAUGUAGCUAGCAGGUGGCGGAGGUGUAUUUGAAUGUCGGCAGCACCCUGAUAGCGAUUAGGAUGUCCUCCGUCUACUAGUCUUCUUUGAUCCUUGAAUUCUAUGGAGCUCAAAUAGACAACAAAGCUUUGUGGAACUAGUUAAUUGUUAGCAUAAAUAUCUAACCUUUAUCAUGUUGAGCCUCCUAAAUAAAUGUUACUCUCUUAGUAGGAUCAUUAAUUUAUAUAUAUAUAUUUUCAAGAUGAUAUGAACCUGAUUAACUAAGCAAACUAUUUUAAACAAUUGAAAGGAAAAGGAUAACUACCAAGUUUACCUCUUGGCAAGGCGUUCGGUGUUUUUAAGUCCUUUGAACGGGACUCUCCAUUUUCUCAGUCGUCCUGGGAUUCACUGGAUGGCGUAGUCGGUGGUUCCGGCGGCACCUGCUCUUUGUGUAUAACUAUCUUCUCUUUCCACACCUGACUUGGUGCACUUUUCGUAGUCUGCCCAUCCGUCCUUGAUGAUUUUCCUCCUCUGGUUGCAGUUGCGUCGUCUUCUUCUUGUCCUGACGUGCUUAGAGUCUUCAACUAUAUAAUUAGGGUUAGUAAAAUAGCGGCGUACCUUCUCAGAGGGAAGUGCAUGUGGACUUCUCUGGUUCCAAUGUAGAUGAUUGCUUUAACGGUGCUGAGGAACGGUCUUCCAAGGAUGAUGGGUUUAUCGAAUUCGUCUUCUCCCAUGUCAAUAACCUUCAACCUUUCGGAAUGUCUGAUCUGCCAUUUGGAGCUGAAUGUAUGUCGGUUUUAGGGGCAUGGUUCCGAACAGGAGCUGAUAGAUGACUGAGUCAUCCUUUUUGGUCAGGAACGGUGACUUAAAUCGACGAUCUUGACCUCCUUUAACUGC
rnacentral:lncRNA from 1 species